CCAGUGCCUGAUCCAUAUUGGUUUGAUCCAAGUGAUGUGGAGGAGGAUGAUAUGAAUGACAAACAAGAAGUCGUAGCUGAUGGCUGCCCAGUAAGAUAUGGGAUCUAAAUGCGUGCUCAAGUAGUCUUUGCUCUACUUCACUGGAGCUUGUUCGAGUUGGCAUGUCUUAAGUACUUGUAUUAGUUUGAGCUUGUAUGCUAUGUAAGAUAUAAAUGGUUUAUUGUCUUUUUUUGAUGUACCUACAUUUAAUGUGUGGUUUUUAAGCUUGAGCUAAUACUAAUCUCUCCAUCUGGACCUGUUUACAUGCAUCUUUAUUUUAUGUCUCGGAGUCAAUCCGAGUGUCGCUCAAUUUAGAAAUCAGGCACACAAUUGGAAUCCGUUGGCAUUUUCUACCUCUUCCUGUCUGCUCAAAUGAGGUCUGCUGUGACCGUGUGUAGGGACGUUUCCAACAAAUCAAAUUUUAUCCCGACUGUUAACUUGCGCUGGAGUAAACAAAUUCUGCUGUGCGCCUGCUGUUGCAGCCCAACACCUCUAUUCCGUGGGGUUUGGAAGGAAAGUUGUUUCGUUGAUCAUCGUUUCAGAUGUUAUCUCUUACCUGCUUUGUUGAGCUGCUUUGUAUGAGAUGUUGGAUGGGUUCAUGUGUACUCACUCCGUCCCAUAUUAUUCGUCGUCGUAGUUUCCGUCACUUUUGUUAAAAUACUACUCGUCCAAAAUCCUACAGGUCAAUUAUUUUUAUCAUUUCCCUAAAAUACCGUCGCACAGUCUUCACCCUUGCAUUCUUCCUCCAAAUUAUCAUUAACCUGUCGGACCUGUAGCCGCCCCAAACACCUGCUCCGUGCUGCCUCUCGCCCUCUCCCGGUUCACGAUGCAAUUGCUUAGCCAAUGUCCCCAACAUGGGUAAGCGGAAUCAACCUUAGGUUCUCUCGCAGGUGCGCGGUGGAAGCGGCUGCAAGGCAAGAUUCAAUUCUACUCUUUGUAUAUAUAGGGGAGUACUCGCUGCAUCCUGUAAUACAAGACAUUCAAGAGUUUAAAAUUUAUCCUCAAAUACAAGGCAUUAUAAGUACAUUUGGAUGAUUGCUUAUUUAAUUAUACCCAGAAUUGAAUUAAGGAUGGCUGAUUGGUGGAUUAUUACUAAAAAUAAAUUUCUUGUUAUAUGCAAUUUUGUCAUUAAAAGAGCCGGACAAUACAACUUCCCAUCUAUACUUUAGGGGUACAUGCAUCUUUUGCUACUCCUGCUAAUAUGUCCUAAAAUCUUUAUGAUACCUUGUAUUUUAGGACAGAGGAAGUAAAUCUUACGGAGAUUACUUAUUGAUUUGUCUUGACCUAAAAAAUAAAGAAAACAACUUGAGCAAGAUUUAGUUGAUGAUAAAAAAAUGUAUCUUUUUUUAUGCUAAAUCGCGGAUAUACUUGAGCAAAUAUAGGAUCGCGCAAGAUUUAUUUGAGCAAGAGAUAAGCAGACCACUAUUAUUCCUAGGCAUGCACUACUACAAAAAUGAUUUCAAACAACAUUUGCAGGGGCGUACACGCUACCUGCUCCUGUUUUUCACAGCUACAAAUAGCUGUUUGUAGGAGCCAGUAACGGGUCUACUCCUGGAAACAAAUUGUUUUCCAGGAGCGGGUGAUGGCGUCACCUGUCCUUGAAAAUAUCGUUCCUACCAAAAUUUUGUACCAUUUUCAUGCCAAAUUUUUAAAAUGUGGUUCUCCCAUGUAUCAACCUAUUUAAAUAUAAGUCUCAUAAGUAUCAACCCAUUCAGAUCCAACCCUUAGAGAAUAUUGUAUGUGCAAUGAAAUAUAUAUAUAACUAGUCUCACAAGUUCAUACUUCAAUACUUAAGGUCUUAGAGAGAACUAAGUUCAAAUCCAAAUGAAAAGGGUAAGGGUACAUCCAUGCACUACAUAUUUCAUACUCCGUUUUGCUUCCUGAGAUAUGCAAGAUAGUUUAAGUCUCCAAUCCUAAAGCCUAGAACUUCAUCGAUGUAAACUAGACCAUAAAUUAGUGCACUCUCUAUCGCUUCACAUGGACGGUCACAUGCACUACCAUAGAUUUCGAACAAUGGAGAGCUAAACUCAUAAAGCCAGUAGAAAGUGAGAUGAGCUUGGAGCUUGAAAUCUCUAGUGCGUAUAGAGUUUCAAUCGGUGUAACUAUAAUUCAACACAUCCAAGACUUGAGCUAGAAUCGCAUGAAAGUCAUUGCCUCAAUAGUUUGACCAAAGAUAUCCUAAAAGAUGAGAAUAACAUGAUGAAAGUUAAAAAAUGUAACAUAAAUAAAGAUUAAAGAAUGGUUAGAUAUUGUUGGGGGGAAAUAUUAACGACCUCUUUGUACUCCUUAAACAAUGGUCAUAAGGGUCUGGGCCCACCUGCGGUGACGGAGACCUCUGCUGACUUGGUACGGACAGGAAAUAUUCCACUCCGCCUCGCCCGACCCAUGGUCCUAGGGUCGGACGCGCACGACUCCUCGCUGCAAGGCUCCGCCUCGCUCGACCCCGGGCGCAAGGGGUUGGACGCACCCGACCCCUCACCGCAAGGCUCCGCCUCACCCGACCCCAGGCACUAGGGGUCGGGCGCAUCCGGGCCCACAAGAUAGGGAUUCGCCUCGCCCGAGGGUAGGUGCAUACCAGCAGACGAGAGCGCGGAUCUCGUCGGCUCCCACCAAUCUCACCAUAAAUGCGACCUGUGGGGCGCCUACACGGAAUGCGGCUCUGACGUGCAGAAAGGCGCACGUGCUCCUCGACGUGACCCACCACAGUCUUUGGGCGGUACACUAUAGCCACGACCGCACGGGGCUACAGCAGCACCGUCCUAACUCUCCCCUAUGGUGUUCGUCGUAGGGCACUCAUUGCCCACGCCGCCCAGCAAGGGAGGGAGCGCCGCCUGAUUUCCCGCACGGCCCGGCGGCAGGAGCAUGUUCGCCGCACCUCCCAGUCAGCACGUGAGGCUACAGAGGUCGACCACCCUCCACGACGUGCACAACUGCGGUGGCCAGACAUCAUCAUCAUCACGUAUGGCUACAGCGGACGGUCGCCACGCAUAUCUCGCAUGCCUGGAUACAACAGCCGACCGAAGACAGACAACCAUCCCCCUCCGGUGGUGAUGCUGACAGGGGACAGACACCAGAGGGGAAGGCGACGACCCCGGGGGCCUGGUCUUUCCCCCUGCGCUGUUACUUCCCUACGCACCUUCUUCACUCCCCUUCGGCUCCUGGCUCAAUUGUAACUCCUGCACCCUCCUUGCGCUAUAAAAGGAGGACCAGGAGGCCCGAGAUAGGGAGGACUCUCCAGCCACCGAACACCCCCAAACUCACACUCUCUCCUCACGAGCAUCAGUGCACACCCACAGAGACUUGGGACCAGCUUCCCUCUCUUCCUUGUUUGUAACCCCUACUGCAAACCCUGCGUGAGUAACACGAGCAGCUUCCCACACUGGACGUAGGGCUAUUCCUGCCUGAACUAGUAUAAACCCCGUGUCCUCUCGCGCAACCAUCCGAGCCUUACGCCCAUAGAAAACAAAUUCACUUGCCGUAGUCUUGACUCGUAAUUCUUGACAACGACAGUUAGCGCGCCAGGUAGGGGACCUUUGCACGUACGACGAUCAUCACUGGCUUUGGAUGGCCAACCACGACAUCGGCUUCGCUCCCGGCUCCCACAUCCGCUUCGGGAGCCUAGACUUCCUCGCUACGGGAGAGGGAAUCGAGCUGAUUCCUCUCCUCGUCCUGGUUGCUCACCCCGUCAUCUUCGGCUCCGCCACCGGAAUGGUGGUGGGUGGGUGGGUACGCACCACGGGGCCUCCUUUGAAGGAGUGGCUCUUUGGCCCGCGCAACGCCGUGGUGACUUACGAUUGUCUCCUGGGAUGAUCCAUGAUUGUGCCACCCGCGAACAACGAGUUCGUGGGCGUGAUGGGGACAGCCUCCAACGCUGGUUCCGACAAUGGGAGCCACCACCCCUCUUAUGAGUGCUUCAUGGCUGACGCACACUUCGAGGGGUCCAAUGACAACGGCGCCAAAGGGAGGCAGCGCACUCCCCCACUGGGCGCUGCAGCUACAACCGGGGCCCUCGCUAGGGUCCUGGAGCGGCCACGUCUGCCGAAGGCACGAGCGGCACCCAAUCAGGAGGUCGAGCGCCCCCGCAAUGAAGGUGGGACGUGUCAACGGGCGCGCGACGUCCAGUAAUGCAUCUGCGAGGACGAGGAUCAUCCUCAACUCGUCGCACGUGCCAUCCAGAACAUCGCCGUCACAGUGGCUCUACUCUGAUGACUCCUUGAGCCAGCAACGCCCGAGGAGAGACAGGCUCACCAAGAGGUGCGCAACCUGCUUGAAUGCACCGCAGUCCAGCAGGCGGAGAGCUUCGCAUCCCGGCAACGCGGGCACAACCCCAGCAGGGCAGCGCCCACCGCGCCUCCUGAAAGGCGUGGGGAGUCCGUUCACCAGCCUCCGCCCGGGGGGAACCGGGCCGCGCCCGCUCGACGAACCCCACCACCUGCAGGUGGUGGGGCACCAUCCGUCCACUGGCGCGUUGGUCCCGUCCGCGACGCCCGCGACACCCUGGAUGCGCGUAGGCGCUCCCGCGCGGACAAGGAGGAUGGAGCGGACCGCGGCUACCACGUCCACCGUGGUGGCCGCUAUGAUAGCAAAGAAGAUCGGAGCUCGAGCCCCAACCCAGCGGGGCCUAGGGCCUUCUCCGCGUGCAUCCUGAACGCGCUGUUCCCAGUGCGCUUCAGGUAGCCCACCAACAUGGCCAAAUAUUCUGGGGAGACAAACCCCAGGCUUUGGCUCAGCGACUACCGGCUUGCUUGUUAGGCCGGUGGGGCGGAUGACGACCUGUUCAUCAUUCGCAACCUCCCGCUAUUCUUGGCCGACUCAGCCCAAGCCUGGCUGGAGCACAUUCCGUCAGGUCGGAUCUGUAACUAGAACGACCUGAAGGAAAUCUUUGUGGGAAACUUCCAGGGCACGUACAUGCACCUCGGAAACUCCUGGGACCUCCGAAGCUGCCACCAGGGGUCGGAUGAAUCCCUUCGGGACUACAUCCGGCGCUUCUCCAGGAAGCGCACUGAGCUCUCCAACAUUGCCGACGCCGACGUCAUCGGAGCCUUCCUGGCAGGAACUUCCUGCAGGCCCCUAGUCCACGAGCUGGGACGCAGGGACCCACGGACCACUGAGGAGCUCCUCAACAUCGCCACUAGCUUUGCCUCGGGAGAAGAGGCCGUCGGGGCAAUCUUUGAUCGCUCCAAAGGCAAGGUGAAGCGGGAAGAGGACGCCAACGAGGGCACCUCCAACCACCAGCAGAAGAAGAAAAACAAGCAACGGCGCGAUGGCACCCCCGGCUUCUUCGACAAGUUACUGCUUAAGGGACCAUGCCCGAACCACGAGUUCCCUGCCAAGCACGCCUACAAGGAUUGCAACCUCAUGAAAAGGUACUUUGUGAGUAACCCGGUGAGGGGUGACCGGAGAUGGAAGCCCGAAGAGGAAGAGAAGAAGGACGUUGGAGAGAAGGAAGAUGGCUUCCCCAACGUGGACGGCUGCUUCAUGAUCUUCGGUGGGCCGGCGGCCUACGACUCCAAGCGCCACCGAAAGUUGGAAUGCCGCCAGGUCUACGCGGCCGACCCCGCUACCCCGACUUUCCUUGACUGGUCAAGGUCCGCCAUAACCUUUGACCAGUCCGACCACCCGGAGCGUGUCCUGCAGCUAGGAUGCUACCCUCUCGUCGUCGACCCCAUCGUCGACACAAAGCGCCUCACCAAGGUGCUCAUGGAUGGAGGCAGCGGCCUCAACAUCCUCUACGCCGAGAUCCUCGACGCCAUGAGGAUCGACCGAUCCCAUCUCCGUCCCAGUGAGGCACCAUUCCACGGCAUCGUGUUGGGAAAACGAGCAAUGCCCCUCGGGCAGAUCGACCUACCCGUCACUUUCGGGACUCCUUCCAACUUCAGGAUGGAGACCCUCACUUUCGAGGUGGUGGGUUUCCGUGGGACCUACCACAUCAUCUUGGGGCGGCCAUGCUACGCUAAGUUCAUGACCAUCCCCAACUACACCUACCUCAAGCUCAAGCUGCUCGGGCCCAACGGGGUCAUCACUGUCGGCACGUCUUUCUAGAAGGCGUACGAGUGUGAUGUCGAAUGCUGCGAGUAUGCUGCGGCCAUCACCUGUUCGGAGGACCACGCGGUCUAGCUUGCGGAGAGCUCUGAGGAUCCGCCCGACUCCAAGCAGUCCACCACCUCCUUUGAAGCCACGGAAGGCGUAAAGGAGGUCCCUCUCGACCUCAGCUACUCCAACGGCAGGACCGUGCGGAUAGGCGCUACCUUAUCCCCCAAAUAGGAAAGCGCGCUCAUCAACUUCCUCUGCGCAAACAACGAUGUUUUUGCGUGGAAGCCCUCGAACAUGCUAGGCAUCCCUAGGGAAGUUGCUGAGCACUGCUUGAACAUUAAGGCCGGCUCCAAACCGGUGAGACAGGGCUUACGCCGCUUCGACGAGGAGAGGCGCAAGGCCAUCGGUGUGGAGCUCCAGAAGCUUUUUGCGGACAGGUUCAUCAAGGAAGUGCACUACCCCGAGUGGUUAGCCAAUCCUGUUCUUGUACGAAAAAAGAAUGGGAAAUGGAGAAUGUGUGUUGACUAUACGGGUCUCAACAAAGCAUGCCCAAAGGAUCCGUUUUCUUUGCCGUGCAUAGAUCAGAUAGUCGACUCCAACACAGGGUGCGAAACCCUUAGCUUCCUUGACGCGUAUUCCGGUUACCACCAAAUCGCGAUGAAAGAGUUCGACCAACUCGUGACCUCUUUCAUCACCCCUUUCGGGCCCUACUGCUACGUCACGAUGUCGUUCGGCCUCAAAAAUGUGGGGGCUACGUUCCAGCGAUGUAUGCUCAAGUGUUUUGGGGACCUCAUCGGGCGAACCAUUAAGGCCUACGUAGAUGACAUCAUGGUCAAGUCCAAGAAGGGCGACCAGCUCAUCCCCGACCUUGAACUGGCCUUCAAAAGACUGAGAGACAAGCGCAUCAGACUCAACCCCGAAAAGUGCAUUUUCGGGGUCCCGAGGGGCAUGCUGCUCGGCUUCAUCGUCUUCGUGCACAGCAUCAAAGCCAAUCCAGAGAAGAUAUCGGCCAUCAACGAUAUUGGACCGAUCCAAAACCUGAAGGGAGUACAGCACAUCAUGGGAUGCCUUGCGGCCCUGAGCCAUUUCAUCUCACGCCUUGGUGAACGAGGACUCCCUCUCUACCGACUCCUAAAAAAGACUGACCGCUUUGUGUGGACCGCUGAGGCCCAGGAGGCGCUUGACCAGCUCAAGAACAUCCUGAUGAAGGCCCCGAUCCUGGUCCCACCGACUGAUGGGGAGCCACUCUUGCUCUACAUCGCGGCAACCAACCAGGUGGUUAGCGCAGCUCUAGUGGUGGAGCGAGAGGAGGAGGGACACACCCUCAAGGUGCAACGCCCGGUGUACUUCGUUAGUGAGGUCUUGUCCGAAUCCAAGGCCCGCUAACCUCAAAUCCAAAAGCUCAUAUACGCAGUCCUCAUCACGAAGAGGAAGCUGUGCCACUACUUCACCUCCCACCCGGUGACGGUCGUGUCAUCAUUCCCCCUCGGCGAAGUGAUUCGGAAUCAGGACGCCACAGGGCGGAUCGCGAAGUGGGCGCUCGAGCUUAUGGACCAGGGCAUCACCUACGUCCCCUGGACAACCAUCAAGUCCUAGGUACUCGCUGACUUUGUCGCAGAGUGGACGGAGAUCCAAACGCCAUCGGCGCCAGAGAAGCAGGAGUACUAGACGAUGUACUUCGAUGGGUCGCUGAUGAAAGCUCGCGUCGGAGCGGGUUUGGUCUUUGUGUCUCCCCUCGGCGUGCGCAUGAGGUACAUGAUCCGCCUCCAUUUUCCCGCAUCUAACAAUGUCGCUGAGUACGAGGCUCUCCUCAAUGGGUUUCGCAUCACCACCGAGCUGGGCAUCCGGCGGCUGGAUAUCCGGGGCGACUCUCAGCUAGUCGUCGAGCAAGUCAUGAAGGAGUAGAACUGCCAUGAUCCCAAGAUGGUGGCGUACUGCAACGAAUUCUGCAAGCUCGAGGACAAGUUCGAUGGUCUGGAACUCAACCACAUCGCAAGACGCUUCAACGAGGCAGCUGACGAGUUGGCAAAGGCAGUGUUCGGUCGAAAGCCAGUCCCCGACGGUAUCUUUAUCAGUGACCAGUACAAGCCCUCGAUCCGCUACAAGGAGCCGGGAGAGGCUGGCAAUGCGCCACCUAUCCUGGACUCGGGAGCCGACCCGAGAGAGGUUGGCAACAUGCCACCUAUCCUAGACUUGGGGGCCGAUCCCUCUGACCCCGAGGUCAUGGAAAUCGACACGAACCUAGCAGAGGGGCCUGACCCCCCGCCUGACUGGAGAACCCCGUACCUCGAUUACCUCAUCCACGAGUCACUCCUGACGGAUAAGACAGAGGUGCGAAGGAUUGCCCACCGUGCCAAAUCCUUCAUCAUCAUCGACCAGGAGCUUUACAAGCGGAGCCACACCGGCAUCCUGCAAUGCUGCAUUCCAAUCGAGCAAGGAAAAAUGUUGAUACAAGACAUCCACGCUGGAGCCUGCGGCCACCACGCCGCACUGAGAACCCUCAUCAGGAACGCCUUUCGAUAGGGCUUCUAUUGGCCGAUGGCGGUAGCCGACGCCACCCACGUGGUGCGCACCUGCGAAGGAUGCCAGUUCUUCGUGCGACAAACCCAUUUGCCCACCCAGGUACUCCAGACCAUCCCCAUCAUGUGGCCCUUCGUGGUCUGGGGUCUGUGUUGGGAUACGAGGUAGGCUACACUAGCGCAAAACAAAAUUUUCUACCGUGUAAACUAGGAAAACUGCCGUAUAAGGAUCAUGGGAUUACCACUCGACGCACAACUAGUGCGGAAGAUGUAGAUUCGUGUCGAUGCAGCGAAGUCGAUCAACGUAGUUGUACGUAGUCGAUCACGUUGACAUCCAGCAGCUCCUCAGCAGUUCGUCCACGUGCAGCAAGAUCUCCCUCGUGCCGCGGCUCGUCGUCGGCUUGUCGUGGCUCGUCGGCGGAUCGUCGUGGCUCGUCGGUGGCUCGUCAGCGGCUCGUCCAAGUGCUGCAGGCGCAACACCUCGAAGGUAUCCACACGUGCAGGGAGGAAGCAUCGCAAGCCGAACUGCUAGAUCCAUGAGUUGCAACAGGCUAGGGCGUGGGAGGCGCGGCAGAUGAGUUUCGCCAAAAAGGUGUAAACCCUAGGGCGCCCCCACCCCUCUAUUUAUAGAGGUUCCUAACAGGCCUCUAGGUCUAAGGCCCAUUAGUACUUCUAAACCUAAUCCAACUCAGAUCACAUCCGAAUUGGGCUUCUAGCCCCUUAAGUGUGUGACCCUAUGGGUUCGGAUACAUAUAGACAUGGCCCGAGUACUCCUACUCGGCCCAAUAGUCGGUAGCGACCUCUAGCAAGACGUGCCAACUCCUAUAUGCACACGAAGAUCACAACAUUAUAUACAUGCUAUUCCCUUUGCCUCAUGAUAUUUGGUCUAUCUUCAAGCCGAUCGCUCUUUCUCGAUCCUGUGAUUCGGAAUCCCUUUGUAGGUUAACUCUUAACCGAACGUAGCAUGGCCAUGCAUUUUUGGAUCCGAUCACUCGAGGGGCCCAGAGAUAUCACUCUCAAUCAGAGAGGGGCAAAUCCCAUCUUGAUUGACCAUGUCUCACAACAUGCUUCUUGACAAACCCGAAAGCUACCUUUAUAACUACCCUGUUAUGGCGUAGCGUUUGAUAGCCCCUAAGUAGGUCGAUCCACAUCUUGAAUACAUGCGACAAUCUCAGGUCUAAGGACAAAGCGUAUAUGUUGUUUAAAGAGAGAACUACUUCUCGUAUUGGGUCAAUCCUAGCACAUGUCUCCACAUGUGCCCACAUUAUUAGUUCAACAUCUCCAUGUCCAUGACUUGUGAAACAUAGUCAUCAACUAAUACAUGUGCUAGUCUAAUAUUCAUGUGUGUCCUCACAUGAACUCCGAAUAGGGACAACUUUAGAAUAACCAUACAAGUAAAGAGUUUCACACACAAUUCACAUAAUUGCAAAUCAAUUCAGCCUUUAAUGGAUAUUCAAGGAACACAAUAUAAAUUAUGGAUACAAAUGGAAUAUCAUCAUCUCUAUGAUUGCCUCUAGGGCAUACCUCCAACAGUCUGGACCUCGUCGGGCCCUUCAAGAAGGCGCCCGGGGGCUUCACCCACCUACUCGCCGCCAUCGACAAGUUUUCGAAGUGGAUCGAGGCUCAACCGGUCGCGCAGAUCAAGUCCGAGCAGGCAGUGCAAUUCUUCACUGACAUCAUCCAUCAUUUCGGAGUCCCCAACUCCAUUAUCACGGACAACGGUACGCAGUUCACCGGGAAGAAAUUACUCAAGUUCUGCGAUGAUCACCACAUCCGAGUGGAUUGGUUGGCUGUAGCGCAUCCCCGCAUGAACAGAUAGGUUGAGCGAGCCAACGACAUGAUACUCCAGGGUCUCAAGCCACGGAUCUUCAACCGACUCAACAAGUUCAGCGGCCGAUGGGUUGCGGAGCUCCCCGUGGUCCUAUGGAGCGUGAGGACGACCCCUAGCAGGGCAACCGGCUUCACCCCGUUCUUCAUGGUCUAUGGGUCUGAGGCAAUCCUCCCCACCGACCUGGAGUAUGGGUCGCCGAGGGUCAGGGCGUACGAUGAACAAGGGAAUCAAGCAUCACUCGAGGAUGCGCAAGACCAGCUCGACGAAGUGCAUGACGUGGCCCUACUGCACUCAGCUAAGUACCAGCAAGCUUUGCGACGGUAUCACAGCCGUAAGGUGCGGGGUCGAGCCUUCAACAUCGGCGACCUGGUGCUUCACCUCAUCCAAGACAACAGAGGCUGGCACAAGCUGACCCCUCCGUGGAAAGUUCCGUUCAUCGUCGUGCAAGUACUACGGCCGGGCAUGUACAAGCUAGCGACCCCCGACGGGCAGGUCUUCACCAACGCUUGGAAGAUUGAGCAGCUAAGACGUUUCUACCGUUAGCUAUUGUUUUCAAGUUUGUACAUACAUAAUUCUCUCAUCUUUUAGUUUGUGAAAAAGGGGUGGUUUUGAGUUGCCUUCACUAGAGUUUCGUCCCAAGCUUAAAAAUAUCCGACCCUGGUUCUGCCCCAGGGUCGCAUGUCCCUCGGGGGCCUAUCAAGGGCUCUGGCCCAAGACACUUGGCAUCUUCUCAAAACACCAUUUUUCCAAACCGACCCUCUUCCUAAACGUUUGGGUGUGAAAAGAAAAGAGUGCAUGAACGACGGUCGGGCAAGACCGAUCGGACCACGAGAAAUCUACGCCCCAGCGGCUGUGGUGCCUUUGCUCAUCGGCGCUUCCUGACGCGUCCAACUCGCGCUCUGAUCUUUCCAAACCCAAAAAAUAGAAAGAGGAUCGAAAGCUUUUCCAAAAAAAUUGCAUGAACCAAAAAGGCCUCUGUAGCCAUCGCAAAAGCAAGUUCGAAGUUACUUAACAUAUUUACAUAUUUUUGGGCAUCUGGGCUCGAUACAGGUAACUCGUCCCCGGGUCCUCUGGCGGGAUGGCCUCAUCCUCCAGGAGCUUCAGCAAGGCCUCCGCUGGAUUGAGCACCGACACGUUGAUUUCAUCCAGCUCGGCCUAGCCAGAGGCGUACCCGCUCAUUGCGGCGAAGUUGAUGCCGGAGUAGUGAGAGCUGAAGACGCCGAAGGCCCACCUCACGCCGACGUGGAGUGCCUCCCAAGAGAUCUCACGAGCCUGCCGGUACAUCCCGAGGACAUGGGCCACCAGCGUGCUCGUCCCAUCCUCUUGGACCACACCGAGGUCCUCGCAGACGAUGCGAACAGUGUCCCGCAGGUUGGCGAGCUCGACGUGCUCCGCAUUGUUGGCGUCCCGCAGCCGGGCGAGGUCAGCCUCAAGGCCUAUCUAGAAAAUCCUGCCAAGUCAGAAACCACCACAACACCACAAAACAAAGGAACAACGAAAGCCUUACCCUCAGAUUGAGCUCUCAACAGAUGUUCCCAGUCGAGCCCUUGGGACACGGCGGUCUGAAGCCCCUGCAUCUGCAUCUGGAGCCGACCGACCUCUGCCCCAAGGUCAGCCGCCAUCCUCUUAGCAUCAACCUUUCGGCCCGCCUCGAGAUCGUGCUCUUGCCGAGCCGUAUGUCGCUCGUGCCGGAUGCGCUCAAUGGUUUUUUGAAGGGCCUCAUGCUCCUUCCUCAACCGCGCAAGCUCCUCGGCAUCAUGGUGUGCCUUUUCAGCAACAGCCUGGAACUCCUCGGCAUGAAGGCGGGCCUUCUCGAUGAUGGCCCAGAACUUGUCCUUCGCCCGUCACGCGCUUUCCUGCGCCUCCUGUUCCCACACUCGCAGGUCGGCGGCGUUCUGCUGGGCGGCGGCAAGCUUCCCGGUCAGCUCCCCGGUCUGUCGCACCUCCCUGGUGAAGCACUCCCAGACCCCCCGCUCGCGUCGGAGGAACUCGGACUUCCCCCGGCUGCAUUCCUGGAGGGCUUGCAGAACAAUUUACGCUCAGGAACCGUCGGGAGAAAAAAAAGGGAUGGAGAAACGAAAGAAAAAUAACCACCAAAGAGAACACCGUACCUGACCGCCGGAAACAAUAACGCCAUCCAGCUUCCCCAUCGCAGAAGACAGGGCGGCGCGGACAUCUUCAAGUCUGCCCUGCACCUCCUGCCAUCUUUUCCGCUCCCCGACAUUGUCCAGCACGAAGUGGGGCCUCUGCGUGUCCUCAUGGGACAUCCAGCACACGGUCGGCCCUCCCCACGCGUUGGGGUCGCGACCAAGCGGGACGAGGGCACGGGAGGACUCUCCGGCCAGCCCCGAUGCCGCUGUCCCCAUCAUCGCUGCCGGGGCAGGCGCCACCAUCUCUGCCACCACCGCCGUCUCCGUCGUCGCUGCCGGAGCAGGCGCCACCAUCUCCGCCACCGUCGCCAUCUCCGUCGCUGCCGCUGGGGCAGGUGCCACCGUCUCCGCCACCACCAUCGUCUCUGUCAUCACCACCAGAGUAGGCACCACCAUCUCCGCCACCGCCACCACCCCCGUGACCGGCGCUCUAGACACUGACACCUCCCCCACCGGCUCCUCCUCUGCCUUGUCGUCAAGGUUUAUCACCUCGCCGGACAGAGGAACCCCAGGGGCAGCAUCUUGUCCCGCAGGGUCGGCUGCGGAGGCCAAAGGCAGAACAGGGGUCGGCCCCUGCUCCGUGCCCGACUGCGGCACCGUUUCUCCAGUCGCUGCCGUAGAGGCCGCCUCCGUAGAGGGCACCGUGGCCUCUCCAACGACACCACCACUUGCUCCCGGUGGGGUCACAGUUGUCCCCGCGGAGGCGGUCAACACCCAGAGCGCCUUCUUCGGCGCCAGCGGCGGGACGAAGUCGACCCCGGGACAUCCGAUAGCGGCCGCUUGCCGCUACCCCUCUGCUCGUGUGACGUAGGCAGAGGGUCGGGGGUCGGCUCCGUCGAUCCCCAAGGCACGCCCCUCGCCGACUCCUGGGGCGAGGCCCCAGUUUCCCGUAGGGUCGGGCCCCGGGCAGGCGGUCCACUCGACCUAUCCCCAGUGGCUGGUUGAGGGGGCUGGUCCUGGAUGACGAGCGCACCCGGCGUGAAGACCAGAAUGUAACCCUCCUCCUCCUCCUCAGUCUCGUCCUCAUCGUCCUCCUCAUCAUCGUCAUCGUCGUCAUCCGACACGACCGCGCCCCUCCGCCACCUUUGGAACUCUUUCGCGGCCCUCUUCCUCUUCCUCGCCGUCUCUUUGUCCUUCCUCCUCUUCUACUUCUCGGCGAGGAGGCGGUUCUGCCACCGCCGCGCUGCGUCCUCAGGCACCGGCGGACGUGAGGUCACGACCCGGUUCAGCUCACCCUGCAGAUUCAAAGACUCCACGUCAGAAUGGUGAGCUAGGAAACGCAGGAAAAAGAACGAGAGUAUGAAAUUCUCACCAGCGGGACAAAGUCCUUGUCCAGGUGCAUCGGAGGGUAACCGAGCACCGGGUAGAUGACGUCCCUGUCAUCCAGCACCUCCCGGACGCGCUGCUCGAUCUCGGCGUCGGCAAGCACACCCGUCGCAAGGACGGUGCCCUCGGUCGCCGUGCCGGGAACCAUAUCGUCGAGCACGUGGGCCUGGAGCAUCAGCGGUGCCACCAUCCGAGCGUGGUACGCCCCGAUAACUCCGGCCCCAGUUAGGCCCUCCUCCUUCAGGCGGUCGAUGGCCAGAAGAAGACCGGCGAUGUGCUUCUUCUCCUUCUCGACCGGACCGUACGACCAGUGGUCCGGCGCUGCCGCAAUGACACGACCGGUGAACUCCAUCAAGAGGGACUCGGGGUAGUUCUUCACAUAGAACCACUAAUGGUCCCACCCCUUGUCGGAUGCCGCGGUCUUCAUCGCCAUGUAUUCCUUGGCGCGGUUCUGGCAGAGGUGGAUGCCGGCGCACCCCAUCAGCAUCGGAACUGCCCGCACCUGGAUCCCCUUCUUCUCGGUCUUCUGAUACAGGAUGACCAUGAAGAAGUAUUUCUAGAGCGAGAAGUUGGGCUUGAUUCCCAGGUACCCCUCGCACAGCGCGAUGAACGCCGUGAUGUGCUGGAUCCCAUUGGGGUUGAGGUGCUACAGCUCGAGCCCGUAGUAGUGCAGCAGCCCGCGGAAGAAGAGGCUUGGCGGAGUCACAAAUCCCCUCCUAUGGAAGUGCGCGAAUGAGAUGACAAAGCCGUCGUCCGGUUGCGGCACAUCUUCCCUCCCGGGGUACCGUCACUCAUUCUUGGUGGCCCUCUCGCAAAGGAGGCCCUUCUUCACGAGGUCAUUGGUACGUGCAGUGCUGAAGCUUGAGCGCAUCCAGGACUCCAUCGCAAAGGGAGUGGAAGGCUUAACUGCGGGGGCGGAGAAAGUUGCUGCGCUGGAGCGAAGGGAGGCAAAACGUGCGCAACAAGGCAAGAAAGGCUUGAUUACGAGCGCGGGGCAAAACCGGCGAGGCGAACUCCCUCAUCUUAUGGGGGAGGGGGGCACGAGAAGCGAAAGGGGCAGUCCAAUCGCAGUUAUUACAACGCCAGGUACCCCAUCACCCCCGCCUUUUUUGGAAACCGUGCGCACGAUCCUUCCCUGCUGCAGGGAACGCCUCCCUCUCCCUCAUUUCGUGGGCCAGAAAUUUUCCGCCACUUCGCCUCGCGGGGGGUGCACGCGCGUGACUUCCUCCACGUACGGCCCGGGGCCCACCAACAGUUAAAAAAGGGAUACGGAGCUGAAAAUGCUCCUAUAGCCCAUUAUGGUCCAGGGGUUCGAAGGCUGGCCCACCGCAGGUUCGACAGUCACCCCAGGACGCCCCCGAGCAAGGGGUGAGAUGGCACGGGGCCGCUAGCAGCCACCACCUAGGCAAGCGAAAGCCAAGGGCGUCCUGACCUCACGUUCGAGUCCGGACUGGCGUCUAAGUUCAUGGUUUUUCCCCGAAGAAAGGCAACGAGCCCCCGGAUCCAAUCGAGCGGACCCGGGAACUAUAUGAACUUGCCAUCCGGAAUCUAGAGUACGCCACCAACUUGGACCGAGCCGCCCCCCCCCCCCCAACGGGGAUCGGGACUCCCCUCGAACUGAACCGUUCGCAGCUCAACAAACACCACGGUUCGUCCAAUGAGGAUAACGUGGCUCGGCUCACCCCCUCCAUCCCAGCGAACGGACGCUUGAGGGGUAACAAUCAAAAGUCGAUCUAACCUCUCGAUCGGUGUCCCGCAACGCGCGGGGGCUGGCAUCGCAAUCAAUGACCACGCGUGUGGCCACAAUUUAGGGUCUUGGAGCAGGAGUGAUCGUCGGAACGAUAGGGAAUCUUCCCGAGCCGAGCCAUCCUCGGAAGACCCUGCCUACCUAAACUCCCCGGCCAAGCUGAACGAGCAAAACUUUUUCUCUCUGAUCAAAUGUAGGUUGCAGGACAAACAAGGAUCCUCGACGAACGACGAAUGCAGCCUCUGGAGGAGCAUAUUGACUCCACUAAAGGCUCGGGGGCUACUGUUGGAGGGAAAUAUUAACGACCUCUUUGUACUCCUUAAACAAUGGUCAUAAGGGCCUAGGCCUACUUGUGGCGACGGAGACCUCCGCCGACUUGGCACGGACAAGAAAUAUUCCAGUCCACCUCGCCCGACCCAUGGUCCUAGGGUCGGACACGCCCGACCCCUCGCUGCAAGGCUCCGUCUUUCCCGACCCUGGGCGAAAGGGGUUGGACGCGCCCGACCCCUCAUCGCAAGGCUCCGCCUCGCCCGACCCCAAGCACUAGGGGUCGAGCGCAUCCAGGCCCACAAGAUAGGGAUUCGCCUCGCCUGAGGGCGGGCGCAGACCAGCAGACGAGAGCGCAGAUCUCGUGGGCCUCCACCGAUCUUGCCAUAAAUGCGACCUGUGGGGCGCCUACUCGGAAUGCGGCUCUGACGCGCAGAAAGGCACCCGCGCUCCAAGACGUGACCUGCCACAGUCUUCGGGUGGUACACUAUAGCCAUGACCGCACGGGGCUACAGUGGCACCGUCCUAACUCUCCCCCGUGGCGGUCAUCGUAGGGCACUCAUUGCCCAUGCCGCCCAGCAAGGGAGGGAGCGCCGUCCGGUUUCCCGCACGGCCCGGUGGCAGGAGCAUGUUGGCCGCCGUUCCGGUCAGCACGCGAGGCUACAGAGGUCGACCGCCGUCCACGACGUGCACAACUGCGGUGGCCAGAUAGCAUCAUCAUCACGCAUGGCUACGGCGGACGGUCGCCACGCAUAUCUCGUAUGCCCGGUACAACGGCCGACCGAAGACAGACAACCAUCCCCCUCCGGUGGUCAUGUUGACAGGGGACAGACACCAGAGGGGAAGGUGACGACCUCGGGGGCCCGGUCUUUACCCCUGCGCUGUUACUUCCCUACGCACCUUCUUCACUCCCCUUCGGCUCCUGGCUCAAUUGUAACUCCUGUACCCUCCUUGCGCUAUAAACGGAGGACCAGGAGGCCCGAGAUAGGGAGGACUCUCCAGCCACCGAACACCCCCCAACUCACACUCUCUCCUCACGAGCAUCAGUGCACACCCACAGAGACUUGGGACCAUCUUAUCUCUCUCACCUGUUUGUAACCCCUACUGCAAACCCUGCAUGAGUAACACGAGCAGCUUCCCACACUAGACGUAGGGCUAUUCUUGCCCGAACCAGUAUAAACCCCGUGUCCUCUCGCGCAACCAUCCGAGCCUUAUGCGCAUAGAAAACAAAUUCACUUGCCGUAGUCUUGACUCGUAAUUCUUGACAACAACAGACAUGUUCCAUACCAUGUCAUGUUGAUUCACCUAACAAAGCCUCUCAGUGGUCAUAGUAACAUUGCUUUCUCCCUCCUCAAUCGGCUUUAUUCGAAAAUAUGAGAAGUUUGGCACAAAGUACCCAUGAUCCUAAAGCUUUUGUAGGCAGGCCUCCAUGACGGACUUUUCAAAAGUCAACCUAGUUUGUGCUUCUUUACCCCAUGUGGCAAUUGAUACCCUCGAGAUGGCCUAUCUUGGUUGUCGCAUCAAGUUGGCCAGUCCUCCUCGAACAGGUACUUCAGAAGAGAUCUUAACUCUUUGAAAAUUUCUUGGACCAACAACCUUGGAUUGCACUAAAGGAGUGGUACCAUCUACAGUUUCGACAUCAUCUUUGAGCCAUCUAAUAGGUUUGAUAAGCUACAUUGUAUGUAAAUAAAUUUAAAAAUUAUUCAUGUGUAGUAAAAAAAUAAUUACAAGAAGGAAAGAAUAUUACUAUGUUGGGUUUUGCUGCUUUGCUUCGAACACCAGUAGGAAAGUCAAUGACGCCAUUAGGGAAGUAAAUUCUUGGAGGAUGAGUCAUUGGUGACCCCUCUAAAAUAUAGUGUCCGUAGCCACCUGUUGACGCCAGAUUUCGUCACCAGUAGAAUCGGCGCCAAGAAAAGAGGAAAUUGGAAAAGUACAGUUGGGAAUCGGCCGAAUGGCGCUACAGUUCAAGAUCGGUUGGUUGGCGCCACAGUCCAAGAUCGUCCAAUGCUACAGUACGGGAUCGGCCGAUGAUUUCUGCCUCGCUUGACCCUUAGGGUUCGGAUCGAGCACGCCGGGUUCCCGAUCGGUUACCUUUUGCCGAUAAGGAAUCGGCCGAUUAGGAGGAUGGGAUAAUUGGGCCUGUAUGGGCUUGGAAAGGAAUAGAAGGAUGGGGAGGAGAUCAGCCCAUGAAGCGUAUAAUAACCAACCUAGCACGAAUCGUACUUGUAAAUAUUUGUUUUCUAUUUGGAUUAGGGAUAGAGUUCUAGUCAGUUAAGGAGUCAUCUGUACGGGGCUAUAAAUAGCUACCUUUGUAAAUCUGUAAUCAUCAACAAAUCAAUACAACCAACUACUUUUUUCCUCGUACUUACUUUCAAGCAGGCGACUUCGCCAAAUACUUUCUCCUUUUUCACGAGUUCGUAUGGGUUGGCAGGGCUGCAUCAACUUGAUCUCCGGUCGAUCUUGUAAGUUCCGUUUACCGAGUAAAUUCUAAGCUUUAACUUCGGGCGCAUCGUUGUUGUUUCGUUUACAUUUAUUCACCAAGUUAUCGAUAUUUACUAGAAUCAUAGGUUUUACCUGUCUUUCUAGUUUUAUCACCAGUUAUCCAGCUAGGAAUCGGUGGUUUCGGCUUUCUUUACAUUCUGCUAUUAAAUUCGCUUAUUUUACAUAGAGCCGAUUAGAUCUGUUCCUAGUGUUGUUGCUAUAUCAUUGCAUCGAUUACUCUAGUAGUUUUCUAUCUACAAGGCUACAGUGAUCGGCUGCUUUAUAGCUGAUUUCUUUAUUACGGCAAAUCGGCCGAUUCGCUGAUAAGCUCUCUCGAGAUCGGAAACUUAGCCGAUCGUGAUUUCUGGACCUGACACGUAUUCUUCCUUGCCAAUCAACAGGUCAGAUUGGCUGGCACGCCGCGUGAACCGCACCAGGGCAAUCACCCGAACAGGAGUUAAGCAGAUUCUCCCGGGUCGUGUGUCAGACGCUGGGGAUCCGGUUGACCAAUUUCUAGUGCCAACACCACCUCCACGACUGCAACCACAAUGGCCACCAACAUCACGGCCGCCACCACCACGGUGAAAAGAUCAUCCAUUAGCCUAAACUAUCCAUAUAAAAUUGUAAUAAGAUAGAUUAUUCCACAAACAUCAACUUUAAUAAUUAUUAUGCCAUAAAACAUCAUAAUUCACCAAAUGCUAAGAAUAAAAGUGUUGACGCCGGAUUUCAUCACUAGUAGAAUCGGUGCUAAGAAGAGGGGGAAUCGGAGAAGCACAGUUGGGAAUCGGCCAAAAUGGUGCUACAGUGUGAGAUCGGCCGGUGACUUUUGUCUUGCUUUGGGUCGAAUGCACCAGGGUCCCAAUCGGUAAUGUUUUGCCGAUAAGGAAUCGGCCGAUUAGGAGGAUGGGCUAAUUGGGCCUGUAUGGGCUUGGAAAGGGAUAGAAGGAUAAGGUGGAAAGCAGCCCACGAAGCGUGGAGUAACCAACCUAGCACGAAUUGUGCUUGUAGAUAUUCGUUUUCUGUUUGAAUUAGGGAUAGAAUUCUAGUCGGUUAAGAUGUUAUCUGUACGGGGCUAUAAAUAUCUAUCUUUGUAAAUCUGUGAUCAUCAACCAAUCAAUACAACAAGCUACUUUUUUCCUCAUACUUACUUUCAAGCGACUUCGCUACUACUUUUCUCUUUUCUACGAGUUCGUGCGGGUUUGCGGGGCUGCAUCAUCUUGAUCUCCGGCCGAUUCUGUAAGUUCCGUUUAUCGAGUAAUAUCUAAGCUUUAACUUUGGGCGUAUCGCUAUUGUUUCGUUUAGAUUUAUUCACUAGUUAUCGAUAUUCGCUAGAUUCAUAGGUUUUUACCUGUUUUUCUAGUCUUUAUCACCAGUUAUCCAGCUAGGAAUCGGUACUAUCGGCUUUCUUUAUUUCCUAUCGUUAGAUUCAUCUAUUGCCGAUUAGAUCUGUUCCUAGUGUUGUUAUCAUAAGCUUUGUACCGAAUACUCUAGCAAUUUCCUGUCUACAAGGCUACAGAGAUCAGGCUGUCUUAUAGCCGAUUUCAUUACCACGGUAAAUCGGCCGAGUCGCUGAUAAACUCUCUCGAUCGGAAACUUAGCCGAUCGUAAUUUCUGGACCUGACACGUGUUCUUCCUUGCCAAUCAACAGGUCAGAUUGGCUGGCACGCCGCGCGAACCGCACCAGGGCAUUCACCUGAACAGGAGCUAAGCAGAUUCUCCCGGGUCGUGUGUCGGUCGCUUGGAUUCGGUUGACCGAUUUCUAGCGCCAACACACUUUUGGCACGCUCAGUGGGACAAAUACAACCGCUAUCAUGUCGAAAGCUGCUGAAGUCUCCGAAGAUAGCGUCAUCGAGGUGACGGAAGCAGAUCUGAAGGACGACCAGAAGGAAGAACUGGACAAGUGUACGGCACACUUCCGGAAAGCUUGCCUGAAGUCUUUCAGUCGCUCCAGAAGCGGGGAGACCAUCAAGAAGACUCCGUUCCCUGCUCCCCGCCAGAUCACAAUUUCUGAAGAUUCGGAUAAAAUGUCCGAUAUGAUUCAACAGUCUAUUCAUCACGCUUUCAUCAAAACCAAUCGGCCAGUCAGGGGAGUCCCCAAUUCCAGGCAUCUUUCCAAGCGGCCACUCGACCAGCCAUGCUGCCGUAUCAGCCUAUCGCACCAGAGAUGAACAAAACAGCAGAGCUCGUACUAUAUGAUGAAACGAGUGGCUCGUUCAAACAGCCGACCUUUAACACACAGCCGGCUUUCACUCAAAUGCCACCUGCUUUCACUCAGCAUCAAGCUAUUCCACCUCCGAUAUACCAACACGUGCCAAUACCUCAGCCAACGGUUCAUCAGCAACAGCCGGAUUGGUCGGCACGUAUUGCAGAAGUGAUUCAGGAACAAUUCGGCUUGAAGCCGAAGGUACAAACUUACACCUAUAGGACGCCAUACCCGUCCACAUACGACCUACUGCCGUUUCCUCAUCGGUAUAAAGUUCCUGACUUCACCAAGUUCUCGGGGAUGGAUGAUACUUCAACCGUGGAGCACAUGAAUAGAUUCAUCAUCCAAUGCGGAGAGGCAGCUACGCAAGAUGCUCUACGGGUGCGGCUGUUUUCGUCAUCUCUGUCUGGAUCGGCCUUCCAGUGGUUCACGACAUUACCGCCAAACUCGAUUAUCACGUGGGCCGAUUUGGAAAGACAGUUUCACAAAUACUUCUACGCCGGGGUGCAUGAGAUGAAGCUGUCCGAUUUGACCAGCCUCAGGCAGAGAAGCGACGAGCCGAUAUCCUCAUAUGUACAGAGGUUUCGGGAAAUCAGGAACAAAUGCUACUCUUUGGCUCUAAACGACGCGCAGCUGGCUGAUAUAGCCUUUCAAGGUCUCCUUCCCCACAUCAAAGAAAAAUACGCCUCACAGGAGUUCGAGAGUUUAAGCCAAAUCGUCCACCGAUUGUCGGGAUAGGAGGUACGUUCUUUCGAUCCACGGAGGAACUUCCAGAAGAAGGUGGCGUUCCUGGAAGAGGUUGAAGCCGAAGAAGAUGCUGAGAUCAGUCUGGCAGAAUGGGUCAAAGGAAAGAAGCCGAUAUCAUGCCCAUUCGGCAAGAAAGAACCUGAAACGUUCGGUUUUGACACGUCAAAGGCCAAUAAAAUCUUCGACCUUCUCCUCCAGGAAGGACAAAUCAAGCUCUCGCCAUAUCAUACAAUACCUUCUGCCGAGCAACUAAAAAAGAUGAAAUAUUGCAAGUGGCACAACGCUACAUCACAUGACACUAAUGAGUGCAAAAUCUUCAGGCAGCAGAUACAGUCGGCCAUUGAGCAGGGCAGACUUAAGUUUGAAGUACCAGUGAAAUCGGCCAAGCCGAUGAAGAUUGAUCAACACCCCUUCCCCACCAACAUGGUUGAUACAGGGAAGAAUUCGCUCCAAACGAAGGUGCUGACGUCCGAAUCGGCUAAAAAGAGUGGUGCCGUAGACCCCAGAAAUCAAGCUACACCUGAAGAUGUCAAGGGAAAGCGGCGGAUGGAGGAUGACAAUGGCGAAUCGAAAGAGCCACGCAUUACUUCCCAGUUCCUGCUCCAGAAAUACCAGCGUCAGCAUGAACGCUCAAGAUCCCGGGAAGAAGCGAUGCGACGGCACGAAGAUCACUGGAGGUGCCCGUUCUUCAUCCACUGUUGGGAAAGCAACCUCAGGCUACCUUCGGCCGAUAAGUGCCCAGAAUGCAACGGCCCGUAUCGUGGCAAUCGGCCGUUCAACAGGUCUCGCUCCAGAGAUGGAAGAACAGAACCGAUCAGCAGGAAUUGGCGCGACCAAGAUGACCAGCGCCCUCCCGUGCGUGAUCGACUGGGGGGCAGAAGUGACCGAUAUGAUCGGUCGGAAGAUAGACGCCAUGACAGGCAGGGGGGCAAGACUGAUCGACAUGACCGGUCAGAAAACAGGGCCAACGUUCACAGUCGGCUCGAAGAGAUGGCCGAUGCUCGGGUGACAGACGAAAACCCGUUAGGAUGUGAGCCGGAAUGGGAGCACGCCAGGCCAAGGUGCAAACCAGUAAACCCCAGGUGGUGUCCCGAUGGAUUGACCAAAUCUCAAAAAAGAAGGAUCCAAUGUCUCCGCCAGUGGGAACAGCAGGAGGAGGAACAACAGAGCACGACAGACAAGAAGAAAGGUAGGCCUCGGGUAUGGCGCCCCAAAAGAAACGACAGAGGGGGCGACGAAUCGGCGGGUGAUGAAUCGGCAGCCGAUAUCAGCAUGGUUUUCAUACUACCGAUGGAGUUUAUGACUCCGGCCGACCGACAGGAUUUGCCGGUGUUAGAAGAACAGAUGGCACAGUUGGCUUUGGAGCUAAUGAUUGCCACGUUCGAGAAGCCCGAGGACGACAAACGGCAACACCUGAAAGCAUUGAUCCUAAAAGGGCAUGUCAACGGCCGCCCCCUUACUAGACUAAUGGUAGACGGAGGAGCUGCAGUCAACAUCAUACCAUACGCCGUGCUCCGGAAGCUUGGAAAAAGCGAUGACGACUUGACCAAGACGGACAUGAUGCUCAAGGACUUCGAGGGGAACGUGUCUCCCGCUCGCGGUGCCCUUUGCGUCGACCUCACCAUCGGCAGUAAGACCCUUCCCACCACUUUCUUUAUUAUUAAUGGCAAGGGAUCCUACAACAUGCUACUCGGCCGGGACUGGAUACACACAAAUUGCUGCAUCCCGUCAACAAUGCAUCAAUGUCUUGUACAAUGGGUCGGCGACAACAUCGAGGUAGUCAACGCCGAUUCCGCAUACAGCAUCGCGGCAGCAGACAUGCAGCAGUGGAGCUGCGAAACCGUCAGGUGCAUAUCCGGCAGAGUAUGGGAGACCGACUUCCUGAAGGUAACCGAUUUUGGCCUACAGCCGAUCCGAGCAGUUGGCUCCGAAGACUCAGAAUAAAUGGACCAGUUCGCCCGAGAAGAUGGGAAGCUAGGGCACGGGUUCACGUCGGCAGAUUCACUAGAAAUGAUAGACUUAGGCGAUGGUACCAAACCAAGGCCGACUUAUAUUAGUGCAAAUUUAGACCCGGAAUACAAAUGUAAAUUGACAAAUUUGUUAAGAGAAUUUAAGGAUUGUUUUGCUUGGGAGUAUCAUGAGAUGCCCGGUUUAGAUCGAUCUAUUGUUGAACAUCGGCUACCCAUAAAACAAGGGUAUCGGCCGUACCAACAGUCUGCACGGCACUGCAAUCCUAAGAUUCUACCAGACAUAAAAGCUGAAAUAACUCGGCUAAUCGAAGCAAAAUUUAUUCGGCAAUGCCGUUAUGCCGAGUGGAUCUCCAACAUUGUACCAGUGUACAAGAAGAACGGAAAGCUACGCAUUUGCGUUGAUUUCAGAAAUCUUAAUCAGGCCACACCGAUGGAUGGGUACCCCAUGCCAACGGCCGAUGUGCUGAUCGACGCUGCCGCGGGACACAAGAUUAUCAGCUUCAUGGAUGGAAACACUGGAUACAAUCAAAUACUUAUGGCCGAAGAAGACAUACCCAAAACGGCCUUCAGAUGCCCAGGCCACCUUGGUUUGUUCGAGUGGGUGGUGAUGACCUUUGGCUUGAAGAACACCGGCGCCACGUAUCAGAGAGCCAUGAACUACAUAUUUCACAAACUUAUCGGCAUUCUGGUAGAAAUCUACAUCGACGACGUCGUGGUCAAGUCCAAAGGACAUGAAGAGCAUCUGGCCAAUUUGCGAAGAGUGCUGGAGUGCACCAAGAAAUAUGGGCUGAAGAUGAACCCCAAUAAAUGUGCCUUCGGCGUGUCUGCCGGACAGUUCUUAGGAUUCAGGGUGCACGAGCGGGGAAUAGAAAUCAAUCAAAAGACCAUAGCGGCUAUCAACAAAGUCGUGGCCCCGUAGAAUAAAACUGAAUUGCAGUCUUUAAUCGGCAAGGUGAAUUUCAUCAGAAGAUUCAUAUCCAAUCUAUCCGGGCGGAUUCAGGCGUUCACGCCACUGUUGAAGUUGAAGCCUGAUCAGGAGUUCAUGUGGGGGGAAGAGCAACGCAAAGCUUUGGAAGAUAUCAAGCAGUACUUGGUUUCACCACCGGUAUUGGUUCCUCCUCAGACUGGUAAGCCAUUUAAAUUAUACUUAUCAGCCGAUGAAAAGGCUAUUGGGUCGGCUCUAGUCCAGGAGUUCGAAGGCAAGGAACGAGUAAUUUAUUAUGUCAGUAGAAGACUUCUGGACGCUGAAACAAGAUAUCCUCCGGUGGACCGGUUUUGCCUAUUUCUUUACUUCUCAUGCACCAAACUCAGGCACUAUUUACUGUCGGCAGAAUGCGUGGUCGUAUGCAAAGACGACGUAGUAAAAUACAUGCUAUCACUGCUGAUCUUGAAAGGUCGAAUCGGCAAAUGGAUCUUAGCUUUGUCAGAGUUUGACCUGCGGUAUGAAUCGGCAAAAGCCGUCAAGGGUCAGGUCAUGGCCGAUUUCGUCACCUAACACUACGGGCCAGAAGUUACCCUCGUAGAGCCGGCGCCUUGGACUUUAUACUUUGAUGGGUCUUCAUGUGGGGUCGGAGCAGGAAUCGGCAUCGUUCUCAUAUCGCCUCGGGGGGCAAGCUAUGAUUUUUCUCUGCCGAUAGAAGCCACCACCACUAACAAUCAAGCGGAGUACCGAGCUGUAUUGAAAGGCCUACAACUACUAAGAGAAGUCAGGGCCGAUUCUGUCGAAGUCUUCGGGGAUUCCAUGCUUAUUGUGGAUCAAUUGACCGGAAGGUCCGAAUGCAAGGACGACAUAUUAAGAAUUUAUUAUGAAGAUUGCCUACAACUCUUAAAAGAAUUUAAAUCGGCAGUAAUCGAGCACAUCCCAAGGGACCACAACGAGGAUGCCAACAAGCUCGCCCGGCACGCAUCUGGAUAUCGGCCAAUUCUAGGCGCUAUGGCUCUGGAACUCGCGGUCGAUGAUUGGCGGAAAGAAAUUGCCGACUAUUUGAAAGAUCCGUCUAAGAAGGUGGAACGACGAGUACGUUUUCAUGCUACUAAGUACGUACUGCUUGAAGACGACUUGUUCUACCGAACGAUUGACGGCGUCCUACUCAAAUGCCUGGGAACAGAAGAAGCCAAGACUCUAAUGGGAGAAAUCCAUGAAGGAGUAUGUGGAGCACACCAAUCGGCCCAUAAGAUGAAAUGGAUGAUCAGGAAUAACGGGUAUUACUGGCCGACGAUUCUCGAAGAUUGCUUUAAAUAUUAUAAAGGAUGCCAGGAUUGUCAGAAGUUCGGGAAUGUCCAACGUGCACCCGCAUCGGCCAUGAAUCCCAUUAUCAAGCCAUGGCCGUUCAGGGGAUGGGGAAUAGACCUUAUCGGCCAGAUUUACCCCCCAUCAAGCAAAGGGCACAAAUUUAUUCUGGUGGCUACCGACUAUUUUACCAAAUGGGUGGAAGCAAUUCCGUUAAGGGCCGUAACAUCGGCCAUCAUGGCCGACUUCGUAAGGGAUCAUAUCAUCUACCGAUUCGGCAUUCCCCAGACUAUAACGACCAAUCAAGGAACAAUGUUCACAUCGGGGGAAUUUGAAGAAUUUACAACCGACAUGGGGAUCAAAUUGUUGAAUUCUUCUCCGUAUUACGCCCAAGCCAAUGGUCAGGCCGAAUCCUCCAACAAAGGGAUAAUUAAGUUAAUCAAAAGGAAAAUUGAAGAGCAGCCAAAGAAAUGGCAUCUAUGUUUGACUGAGGCCUUAUGGGCGUACAGGAUGGCUUGUCAUGGGGCCACCAAGUUAUCCCCUUAUCAAUUGGUGUACGGUCACGAUGCAGUACUGCCGUGGGAGUCAAGGGCGGGAUCGAGGCGCAUUUCGCUCCAGGACUAGUUAACGGCUGACGACUUCUCGUCACUUAUGAAAAGGGAACUUGAUGACUUAACUGGCCAGCGAUUGAGAGCUUUAAUAAGCAUUGAGGAAAACAAAACGAAAGUAGCCAGGUGGUACGAUAAGAAGGUCAGAGUUAAACAAUUUUCCCCUAGGGACUUGGUUUGGAAGCUAGUAUUGCCGAUUGGGUCGAAAGAUCCUAAAUUCGGAAAGUGGUCAACAUCAUGGGAAGGGCCGUAUAAAAUUGGCAGAUGUGCUCCGGGGAACGCUUAUAUUUUGGAGACAAUCGAGGGAGAAGAGUUUACUAGGACUUUGAACGGAAGGUACUUAAAAAGAUACUACCCUAGUAUAUGGGUCGGAGCAUAAGGGAUUGACCGUAAUACAAUCGCACGCAACCGAUACAAAACGGUUCAAGCAUGUAAUCGUCCAAAUCGGUCGAUGUAUUCAUUCGGUACGGACGGUGGAUUACACGGCCGACAAGAUACAAGUCGCCCUUAGAACAAAAAUAUACAAUAACUAAUUAUUCUUUUUCUUGCGCUCUCUCUCAGUCCGACCUAGCUCUAUCAUGAGACGGAUGUACUCUUCUUCUAUUUCCUUCAUUGAAGCCUCCGCUUCGACUUGACGGGGGAGAGGGUGGCUCCGGUCCACAACCGGGCGUGACGUUCCUGCCGCUGUGUCUUCAAGGGCGACUCGCGGAGGAAGCGGAUGACUUCUGUCGGCUGGAGGUCGCCGACGGCCGUUGCUCUCCAGAAAGUCCAAGACCCGACGGGCGUCGGCGGAGACAUGGUCCCGAAGUUCGUCACGAUAAACCUCGAUUAAAUCUUUAUCUUCUGACGACAAAGGUUCAUCAGAGUGUAUAACCUCAAUGGCGCGCUCAAGUCCAGGGCUAAGACGCCGAGGCUGGGAAAAGAAAGAAUUAAAAAGUGAUCUCCUUUAGAAAAGUUGAAUGGAGAAGAAGGAUGAGGUUUUUCACCUGGUUAACAGAGGAAGAAGAAGACGAUGAAGACAUGACAGAAGGUCGCGCCGAUAAGAACUAGUUGAGAAAAUAAGACCGAAGCCAAACUGGUGCUCUCGGAAGGGGGAGUUUAGGCCGGUAUUUAUAAGAGAAAGAGGCGUGGGAAUUUGGUAAGGGUGCGUCCCAUCGGAAGUAAGAAGGGUAAUAAAUAGAAAAGGCGUCUCGAAGGACGGUCAAAGCAGUUAUUAAAUGUUCGUACAAAAUAGUCAGUGCUUUACAGAUUACCCAGAAGGGUAUCGAUAGCCGCAAUCGCCCGACGCCGGAUCUGAUCGGCAGAGUCCAGGACCCGUUGGUCUUCAUCCGCCGAUCCGGGGACUUCUGACGCACUACGGUGGAGCUUCAGGGCUUCAUGGGCCAAGUGCUGCCUCUCCUGUUUCAAAUCGGCAAUGACGGAAGGGAGUUCUUGGAGCCUUUUCUCUUCAGCGCUGAUUGCCUUGGUCACCUGCUCCAUUUCCUUGGCAAGCUCUGCCCUUCGGCGUUUGAGGCGAUCUAUCUCACCGACGAUCCCUGGGCGGGAGUCCUCCAGAAAAUGGAUACGCUGGUGCACCUCUUCAGCUUGACGUUUGAAUGCAUCCUCCUCUUCACGAGUCUUGGCCAGCUUGGCGCGAUCGGCCAUGUGACAAAGGGCUCUGAAGACCGGGAUCCUCAUGGACUCGAUGAAUGCAGCCGGCGCCAAGGCUUCCUCCGCUUCUUCUGGCACUCGUCCGCUGACGUCACCGAAAAGCUGCCGAAUCGGUGAAGCAUCUUCUACUAAUCGGCCGAUGUCUCCUUGAAGAAGGGAUCGGAUACUAGUAAGCUUGGCUCGGACGUCGUCAGGGAUGGAACUCAAGGCGACUUGGCGGGAAGCGACUUCUUCGUCGUCAGAAAGGGCGACCGCGAAAGAGAAGAGGCUAUUGUCAGGAGUGUCCUGUUCCUGGAAAUAAUAACGAAGAAAAAAUGAAUCGGCUGAUGGUGAUAGCGAUUCGGCCAAAUAAAGCUUGAAAGAUGUCUUACCACUUUGAAGCGAAUCUCUUCAAGUUGCGUUCGGGAAGCCGUUGUUCCCUGCUCAGGGGCCUGUACCAUAGGUUCAUCAGAAGAGGAAGACUCCACGAUGAUCGGCGCGGUGCUUGUACCAGCUCCCCGAGAAGGGACCAGUGGGUGAGGAGCGUUUGGCGUACCGAUGACCUGUGUCAGAAGGUUGAGAAAGUAUAUUAUGCAAAUACUAGGUGAAUCGGUGAAAUAGUGUUGUACCUCAACGGAUGGAAGCGGGGGUGCGUCGAUGGCCGAUUGAGUUGCUGCCGAUUGUUGUGUGUCCAUGGGAGUACUCUGUGCAGUCUAAGAAAAGAAGGAUUAAUAUCAAAACGACAAUCGGGAGGAUUAAAACAUAAGUUUACCUGAACGACCUCUAAAAACAAUGACGCGGCGGCUGCCCCGGCUUGUGCGACGACUUGAGUGUCAAUGUCUCUGGUGGCCUGAGGGGGUGGUGCGGCCGGAGUCUCUGCCGAUACGAGCAUGGGAGGAUCCGCCGAUUCUAUACGGGCUUGGACUCGGCGGCUGGUCUUCUUGGUGAUUCUCUUCUGAGUUUGUUUUGAUCGGCCAGCAAUCACGUCUACGGACGGAGCAUCAUAGCCGAUGAGAGGGUAGGAGGUGUAUGGAUGAUGACCCUCUAUUAGCCGACCACUCCGGCUGUGUGUUGGAGGAGUACGAUUCUCAGCCUGAAGAAAUAGUAAAACAUUAGUGUUCAGUCACGUUGAAAAAGGAGUAAAAAUCGGCUAAGGAAAAUACCUCGGCAUUCGGGUCGAUGUUGGCUGGAUCUAGGAGGUUGCAGUAUGCCGAUGCCGAAUUGCAGAAGAGGAAUUGUUUCCAUUCGGCCCACCAAAGUUUGAAUGGCUGGACAGCGAAGGGGGCUACUAUCCAGUUGUUCAGAUCAAUAGUGUUGGAGUCCAGGAUCCGGUCUCGUACCCGACUGUAGUCCAGACCUGUUGUAAGACCAUCUCUGAACUUGACUCGGCCAGCAAAAUAUACUUGAAUCGGCAGCUGACCCAUGCUGAGUUGGCGUGCUGCAACAGAGCGAUUGUAAAACUCGUACGUGGGGGCAUCCUUCCCCGAGAAGAAGUUGGCUGGCAGGAUUCCUAGCUUGAUUAACUCAUCGGUGAGUUCUUCAUCGAAUCGGCCAGUGGUCGAAUCAAAGCAGGUUGGGAAUUCAAAGAUUGGGUCGUCCCGAUGAUAAGGAAACCAAAUGGUUGCAUCUUCAUUAAAGCCGUUGUAAAAGCAUCGGAAGUACUCGGCCACUUUUGUAGCAGAAUACGUGCAACCUGGAAAGGCCGAUGCCGCUUCGCCAUAAGAGGUGCAUCGCCGACGGGCGGUAGGAUCUUCUGCCGAUUCAAUGUUAGGAAACAUCAUAUGGUCCACCCUCUGCUGAGUGAUCUUGCUCAUAUAAAGGUUCAGCCAUAAAUUGAUGAACCACCAGGGUCCGCCUGGGUUUCCGAUCGGCUCCCCCUUGGAUAGUUUGAUGCCGAUUUGGUGGAGCAUGUGGUACGCCGCCCCUAGCAAGUGUUUCCCAAGGGGAACAGGGGUUCCUGCCGAUAGUGCUUCGGCUAAGGCCUGGGUGUUGGUUGAUGGGCCGGCGGCUCUUCCGCAAAAGAAAUGUUUUUGCAACCACACCAUUAAAAAGGCCGUAUGCUCCCUAUUCUCAACAGACCCGGCUCUUUUGUUGCAUCUGAUGAAUCCUUUCCACCCGCCGAUCCCUCUUGUGUCCAGCCGAUGUGACGUUGCGGCUAAGAGGCGGAAAGGUGUGUCCGGGGAGGAAAUGUCAAGGCCGGUCAAUAGAACCACAUCGGCCUGUGUGGGAGUCAUAGGUCCAUGCCCAAACAAGAAAGCAUUGAGGGCAUCAGACCAAAAGUAAGAGGCCUCUAUCACCAACGGUUCAUUUCGCUCCAUCUGGGACAAAGACAGGUUGAUACACUGGCCGAUUUUGAGCUCAUCCCAUGAGACCCUCUUCGGCUCAGCUAUCCGUUGGUACCACUCCCUCCAACCUGGGGUUUCAUUCGGCCAAGACCUAAAGGUGCCCAACCAGUGAUCCAGGUCCAUGGUGGAUUGUUUGAAGGGGAUUCUGUGGGUUUCUAGAUUGAUGAGCUCUAUUGGAUCUGGGUUCCCCAUGGGUCCAAGGCAAAUAAGGCCAGGAUUUCCGGUAAGAUGGAUGGUGAUGCGGUGUCUGAUUGCCUAAAAAGGAAAGAGGGGGUGCAAAAGUAAGAAACAGAUCUAAAAGUAAAUGCAUUGCCGAUAGAGGAAAGAUUCGGUAAUAACCUCUGGGAUGAAGUUCCUAGUAGUCAGCGUGGCCGCCGGUGCAGCUGCGGAGGAUGAGGCCGCGAUCGCCAUUGGGAUCUCCGAUGAAGUUCCUUCUUCUGACGACGGAGCAAUUGCUGUCGCCACUACCGCCGGAGGUGCCAUUUCCGGAGCAUCGCGCGCUGGAGAACUGCCUGAAGGGGCCGCCAUUGGAGGGGAAGAGAAGAAGCAACAGGAGGAUGGCGCUGGGAAGCUUCGGCGACAAGGGAAAAGUGCUGAGGGAAGAAGAGGGUGCGCGUGCUGAGGAAGAAAGAUGUAAGCUUGAAGGUGAAGUGCAGGGUGAACCGCUAUUUAAAGGGUGCCUGGAGAGGGGUAAAAAUGGAAUUUUUACCGCGCCGGCGUUUCGAGUUUUUCGGGAGUAGUGGUUGUCAUGGGCGCCCGUUUCGAAAAGAUUGCAAUCAUCAGCUGGAAGACCGCGAAACGGGAGGAUAUUUUCAUUGUGGCUGUUUCGGAGGAGAAGUUGAAAAGAAUUUCGAAGUAAAAGACCAUGUUUUACUCCGAAACUGGGGGGCAUGUGUUGACGCCAGAUUUCAUCACCAGUAUAAUCGGCGCCAAGAAAAGAGGAAAUUGGAAAAGUACAGUUGGGAAUCGGCCAAAUGGCGCUACAGUUCAAGAUCGGUUGGUUGGCGCCACAGUCCAAGAUCGGCCAAUGCUACAGUACGGGAUCGGCCGAUGAUUUCUGCCUCGCUUGACCCUUAGGGUUCGGAUCGAGCACGCCGGGUUCCCGAUCGGUUACCUUUUGCCGAUAAGGAAUCGGCCAAUUAGGAGGAUGGGAUAAUUGGGCCUGUAUGGGCUUGGAAAGGAAUAGAAGGAUGGGGAGGAGAUCAGCCCAUGAAGCGUAUAAUAACCAACCUAGCACGAAUCGUACUUGUAAAUAUUUGUUUUCUAUUUGGAUUAGGGAUAGAGUUCUAGUCAGUUAAGGAGUCAUCUGUACGGGGCUAUAAAUAGCUACCUUUGUAAAUCUGUAAUCAUCAACAAAUCAAUACAACCAACUACUUUUUUCCUCGUACUUACUUUUAAGCAGGCGACUUCGCCAAAUACUUUCUCCUUUUUCACGAGUUCGUACGGGUUGGCAGGGCUGCAUCAACUUGAUCUCCGGUCGAUCUUGUAAGUUCCGUUUACCGAGUAAAUUCUAAGCUUUAACUUCGGGCGCAUCGUUGUUGUUUCGUUUAGAUUUAUUCACCAAGUUAUCGAUAUUUACUAGAAUCAUAGGUUUUACCUGUCUUUCUAGUUUUAUCACCAGUUAUCCAGCUAGGAAUCGGUGGUUUCGGCUUUCUUUACAUUCUGCUAUUAAAUUCGCUUAUUUUACAUAUAGCCGAUUAGAUCUGUUCCUAGUGUUGUUGCUAUAGCAUUGCAUCGAUUACUCUAGUAGUUUUCUAUCUACAAGGCUACAGUGAUCGGUUGCUUUAUAGCCGAUUUCUUUAUUACGGCAAAUCGGCCGAUUCGCUGAUAAGCUCUCUCGAGAUCGGAAACUUAGCCGAUCGUGAUUUCUGGACCUGACACGUAUUCUUCCUUGCCAAUCAACAUGUCAGAUUGGCUGGCACACCGCGCGAACCGCACCAGGGCAAUCACCCGAACAGGAGUUAAGCAGAUUCUCCCGGGUCGUGUGUCAGACGCUGGGGAUCCGGUUGACCAAUUUCUAGCGCCAACACCACCUCCACGACUGCAACCACAAUGGCCACCAACAUCACGGACGCUACCACCACGGUGAAAAGAUCAUCCAUUAGCCUAAACUAUCCAUAUAAAAUUGUAAUAAGAUAGAUUAUUCCACAAACAUCAACUUUAAUAAUUAUUAUGCCAUAAAACAUCAUAAUUCACCAAAUGCUAAGAAUAAAAGUGUUGACGCCGGAUUUCGUCACUAGUAGAAUCGGCGCUAAGAAGAGGGGGAAUCGGAGAAGCACAGUUGGGAAUCGGCCAAAAUGGUGCUACAGUGUGAGAUCGGCCGGUGACUUUUGUCUCGCUUUGGGUCGAAUGCACCAGGGUCCCAAUCGGUAAUGUUUUACCGAUAAGGAAUCGGCCGAUUAGGAGGAUGGGCUAAUUGGGCCUGUAUGGGCUUGGAAAGGGAUAGAAGGAUAAGGUGGAAAGCAGCCCACGAAGCGUGGAGUAAUCAACCUAGCACGAAUUGUGCUUGUAGAUAUUCGUUUUCUGUUUGAAUUAGGGAUACAAUUCUAGUCGGUUAAGAAGUUAUCUGUACGGGGCUAUAAAUAUCUACCUUUGUAAAUCUGUGAUCAUCAACCAAUCAAUACAACAAGCUACUUUUUUCCUUGUACUUACUUUCAAGCGACUUCGCUACUACUUUUCUCUUUUCUACGAGUUCGUGCGGGUUGGCGGGGCUGCAUCAUCUUGAUCUCCGGCCGAUUCUGUAAGUUCCGUUUAUCGAGUAAUAUCUAAGCUUUAACUUUGGGCGUAUCGCUGUUGUUUCGUUUAGAUUUAUUCACUAGUUAUCGAUAUUCGCUAGAUUCAUAGGUUUUUACCUGUUUUCUAGUCUUUAUCACCAGUUAUCCAGCUAGGAAUCGGUAGUAUCGGCUUUCUUUAUUUCCUAUCGUUAGAUUCAUCUAUUGCCGAUUAGAUCUGUUCCUUGUGUUGUUAUCAUAAGCUUUGUACCGAAUACUCUAGCAAUUUCCUGUCUACAAGGCUACAGAGAUCAGGCUGUCUUAUAGCCGAUUUCAUUACCACGGUAAAUCGGCCGAGUCGCUGAUAAACUCUCUCGAUCGGAAACUUAGCCGAUCGUAAUUUCUGGACCUGACACGUGUUCUUCCUUGCCAAUCAACAGGUCAGAUUGGCUGGCACGCCGCGCGAACCGCACCAGGGCAUUCACCCGAACAGGAGCUAAGCAGAUUCUCCCGGGUCGUGUGUCGGUCGCUUGGAUUCGGUUGACCGAUUUCUAGCGCCAACACACUUUUGGCACGCUCAGUGGGACAAAUACAACCGCUAUCAUGUCGAAAGCUGCUGAAGUCUCCGAAGAUAGCGUCAUCGAGGUGACGGAAGCAGAUCUGAAGGACGACCAGAAGGAAGAACUGGACAAGUGUACGGCACACUUCCGGAAAGCUUGCCUGAAGUCUUUCAGUCGCUCCAGAAGCGGGGAGACCAUCAAGAAGACUCCGUUCCCUGCUCCCCGCCAGAUCACAAUUUCUGAAGAUUCGGAUAAAAUGUCCGAUAUGAUUCAACAGUCUAUUCAUCACGCCUUCAUUGAUCAGUCCCUGGUACUUUCCAACAUGGUGCACAACGCUGUUGUCAACUCCUUCGUUGGUGGGGUACCUCAAGGGUACAGAGGACCAACAUAUUUUCAGCCGAUUCCACCAAAUCAGACUUAUCCAAAUUCGGCUUCACAGCCGAUUCAAUUUUCUGUCAGGAGUUCAGGCGCUUCUGCAUCAUCAACUCCUUUGGGAUAUGGCUCCAUCCAGCUGUCCUCUGCACCAUUUCCUCCAGUUAGCCCAUCACCCUGGGGGGCACCUUCUGCCACGGCCGGUCUGAAUCAAUCGGCCAGUCAAGGAAACCCUCCGUUCCAGGCGUCCUUCCAGGCGGCCAUUCGGCCGACCAUACCACCAUACCAGUCUGUCGCUCCGGAGGCCAACAAGACAGCCGAGCUCAUGCUAUAUGAUGAAACGAGUGGUUCAUUCAAACAGCCGACCUUUACUACACAGCCGGCUUUCACUCAUAUACCACCUUUCAAUCAGUCUCCAUUUAUUCAGCCUCCGAUUUACCAGCACGUGCCGAUUUCGCAGCCAACAGUUCACCAGCAACAGCCAGAUUGGUCGGCACGAAUUGCGGAGGUGAUGCAAGAACAAUUCGGCUUGAAGCUGAAAAUGCAAACUUAUACCUACAGAACACCAUACCCGCCUACAUAUGACCUAUUGCCGUUCCCCCAUCGGUAUAAAGUUCCUGAUUUCACUAAAUUUUCGGGGAUAGAUGAUACUUCGACCGUAGAGCAUGUGAAUAGAUUCAUCAUCCAAUGCGGAGAAGCAGCUACGCAAGACGCCCUGCGAGUACGAUUGUUGUCGUCAUCUCUGUCUGGUUCGGCCUUUCAAUGGUUCACGACAUUGCCGCCAAACUCCAUUAUCACGUGGGCCGAUUUAGAAAGACAGUUCCACAAAUACUGCUAUGCCGGGGUGCAUGAGAUGAAGCUGUCCGAUUUGACCGGCCUCAGGCAAAGAAGUGAUGAGCCGAUAUCCUCAUAUAUACAGAGGUUUCGGGAAAUCGGAAACAAGUGCUACUCCCUGGCUCUAACCGAUGCGCAGUUGGCCGAUAUAGCUUUUCAAGGCCUUCUCCCCCACAUCAAGGAAAGAUACGCUUCACAAGAGUUCGAAAGUCUGAGCCAGAUUGUUCACCGAUUGUCUGGACAAGAGGUACGUCCUUUCGACCCGCGAAGGAAUUUCCAGAAGAAAGUGGCGUUCCUGGAAGAGUUGGAGGAUGAGGAAGAUGUUGAAGUCAGACUCGCGGAGUGGAUCAAGGGAAAAAAGCUGAUAUCAUGCCCAUUCGGCAAGAAAGAUCCGGAAGUGUUCGGUUUUGACACGACUAAGGCCGAUAAAAUCUUCGAUCUUCUCCUCCAGGAAGGGCAGAUUAAACUCUCACCAUACCAUACAAUACCUUCUGCUGAACAAUUAAAAAAGAUGAAGUAUUGCAAGUGGCACAAUGCCACAUCCCAUGAUACCAACGAGUGCAAGAUCUUCAGGCAACAGAUACAGUCGGCCAUUGAGCAAGGCAGACUUAAAUUUGAAGUGCCGGCAAAAUCGGCCAAGCCAAUGAAGAUUGACCAACACCCCUUUCCUACCAACAUGGUUGAUACGGGGAAGAAUUCACUCCAAACAAAAGUGCUGACGUCCGAAUCGGCCAAAAAGAGUGGCGCCGUUGAUCCCAGAAAUCAAACUACGCCUGAAGAUGUCAAGGGGAAGCGGCGGAUAGAGGACGAUGAUGGUGAGUUAGAAGGGCCGCGCAUUACUUCCCAGUUCCUGCUCCAGAAGUACCAACGUCAGCAUGAACAUUCAAGGUCCCGAGAAGAAGCGAUGCGUAGGCACGAGGAGCACUAGAGAUGCCCGUUCUUCAUUCAUUGUUGGGAAAAUAACCUCAGCCUACCUUCGGCCGAUACUUGCCCAGAAUGCAACGGUCCCUAUCGUGGCAAUCGGCCGUUCAACAGGUCUCGCUCUAGGGACGGAAGGCCAGAACCGAUCAGCAGGAAUUGGCGCAACCAAGAUGACCAGCGCCCUCCCGUGCGUGAUCGGCUGGGGGGCAGAAGUGACCGAUAUGAUCGGUCGGAAGAUAGACGCCAUGAUAGGCAGGGGGGCAGGACUGAUCGACAUGACCAGUCAAACAACAAAGCCAGCGCUCACAGCCGGCUCGAGGAGAUGGCCGAUGCUCGGGUGACGGAUGAAAACCCGUUAGGACGCAAACCGGAGUGGGAACGCGCCAGGUCAGAAGGAAGACCAAUAAACCCCAGGUGGUGCCCCGACGGACUGACCAAAUCUCAAAAGCGAAGAAUCCAGCGUCUCCGCCAAUGGGAACAACAAGAGGAGGAACAACAGAGCACGGCAGAUAAGAAGGAAGGAAGGCCUCAGGUGUGGCGCCCCAAAAGGAACGAUAAAAGGGACGAUGAAUCGGCGGGUGACGAAUCGGCAGCCGAGAUCGGCAUGGUUUUCAUACUGCCGAUGGAGUUCAUGACUCCCGCCGAUCAACAGGACGUAUCGGCGAUAGAAGAACAGACAGCGCGGUUGGCUUUGGAGCCAAUGAUGGCCACGUUCGAGAAGCCCGAAGAUGACGAACGACAACAUAUGAAGGCGUUGUUCCUUAAAGGGCAUGUUGACGGUCGCCCCCUCACUAGAUUAAUGGUAGACGGAGGAGCUGCAGUCAACAUCAUGCCGUACGCCGUACUCCAGAAACUUGGGAAAAGCGACGACGACUUGACCAAGACAGACAUGAUGCUCAAAGACUUCGAAGGCAAGGUGUCAAACGCUCGCGGUGCUCUCUGCGUCGACCUCACCAUCGGCAGUAAGACCCUUCCUACCACCUUCUUCAUUAUUAAUGGCAAGGGAUCCUACAAUAUGCUACUUGGCCGAGACUGGAUACACGCAAACUGCUGCAUCCCGUCAACUAUGCAUCAGUGCCUCGUACAAUGGGUCGGCGAUAACAUCGAGGUGGUCAAAGCCGACUCCGCGUACAGCAUUGCAGCGGCCGACACGCAGCAGUGGAGCUGCGAAACCGUCAGGUGCAUAUCAGGUAGGGUAUGGGAGACCGAUUUCCUAAAGGUCACCGAUUUUGGCCUACAGCCGAUCCGAGCAGUCGGCUCCGAAGACUCAGAAUAGAUGGAUCAGUUCGCCCGAGAAGAUGGGAAGCUAGGGCACGGGUUCACAUCGGCCGAUUCAUUGGAGAUGAUAGAUUUAGGUGAUGGAACCAAACCAAGGCCGACUUUUAUUAGUGCACAUUUAGAUCCAGAAUACAAGUGUAAAUUGACAAAUUUAUUAAAGGAAUUCAAGGAUUGUUUUGCUUGGGAGUAUCACGAGAUGCCCGGUUUAGACCGAUCCAUUGUUGAACAUCGGCUACCCAUAAAACCAGGGUAUCGGCCGUACCAACAACCCGCACGGCGCUGCAAUCCUAAAAUUUUACCAGACAUAAAAGUUGAAAUAACUCGGCUAAUCAAAGCAAAAUUUAUUCGGCAGUGUCGUUAUGCCGAGUGGAUUUCUAACAUCGUACCGGUAUACAAGAAAAAUGGGAAGCUACGCGUUUGCGUUGAUUUCAGGAACCUUAAUCAGGCCACACCGAUGGAUGGUUACCCCAUGCCAACGGCCGAUGUACUGAUCAACGCUGCCGCGGGGCACAAAAUCAUUAGCUUCAUGGAUGGAAACGCCGGCUAGAAUCAAAUACUUAUGGCCGAAGAGGAUAUACCCAAAACGGCCUUCAGAUGUCCAGGCCACCUUGGUUUGUUCGAGUGGGUAGUGAUGACUUUCGGCUUGAAGAACGCUGGCGCUACAUAUCAGAGAGCUAUGAAUUACAUUUUUCACAAACUCAUUGGCCUUCUGGUAGAAAUCUACAUCGAUGAUGUCGUGGUCAAGUCCAAAAGUCACGAGGAACAUCUGGCCGAUUUGCGAAAAGUGCUAGAGUGUACCAAAAAGCUCGGUCUUAAGAUGAAUCCCAACAAAUGUGCUUUCGGCGUAUCCGCCGGACAGUUCUUAGGAUUCAUGGUACACGAACGAGGCAUAGAGGUCAAUCGGAAGACCAUAGCGGCCAUCAACAAAGUCGUGGCCCCACAGAACAAAACCGAACUGCAGUCUCUAAUCGGCAAGGUGAAUUUCAUCAGAAGGUUUAUAUCUAAUCUAUUUGGACGGAUUCAGGCGUUCACGCCACUUCUGAAGCUAAAGCUGGACCAGGAAUUUAUAUGGGGAGAAGAGCAGCGCAAAGCGUUAGAAGAUAUCAAGCAAUACUUGGUCUCACCACCAGUGUUGGUUCCCCCCCAAACUGGUAAGCCGUUUAAACUGUACUUAUCAGCCGAUGAAAAAGCUAUUGGAUCGGCUCUAGUCCAGGAGUUUAAAAGCAAAGAGCGGGUAAUUUAUUACUUCAGUAGAAGACUCCUGGAUGCUGAAACAAGAUAUCCUCCAGUGGAGCGUUUGUGCCUGUGUCUUUACUUCUCAUGCACCAAACUCAGGCACUAUCUACUGUCGGCAGAAUGUGUAGUCGUAUGCAAAGACGACGUAGUAAAAUACAUGCUAUCGCUGCCGAUAUUGAAAGGACGAAUCGGCAAAUGGAUCUUAGCUUUAUCAGAAUUUGACCUGCGGUAUGAAUCGGCAAAAGCCGUCAAGGGUCAAGUCAUGGUCGAUUUCGUCGCCCAACACUGUGGACCGGAGAUUGCCCUCGUAGAGCUGGCACCUUGGAAAUUAUUUUUCGACGGGUCAUCAUGUGGGGUCGGAUCAGGAAUCGGCAUCGUUCUCAUAUCGCCUCGGGGGGCAAGCUAUGAUUUUUCUCUGCCGAUAGAAACCGCCGCUACUAACAAUCAAGCGGAGUACAGAGCUGUAUUAAAAGGCUUACAACUAUUAAGAGAAGUCAAGGCCGAUUCCGUUGAAGUCUUCGGAGAUUCUAUGCUUAUUGUGGAUCAACUAACCGGAAGGUCUGAAUGCAAAGAUGACGUAUUAAGAAUUUAUUACGAAGAAUGCUUACAGCUCUUGAAAGAGUUCCGAUCGGCAGUAAUCGAGCACAUCCCAAGAAACCGCAACGAAGAUGCCAACAAACUCGCCCAGCAUGCAUCUGGGUAUCAGCCAAUUCUAGGCACUAUGGCUCUAGAACUCGCGGCCGAUGACUGGCGGAAAGAAAUUGCCGACUACCUGAAGGAUCCGUCUAAAAAGGUGGAGCGACGAGUAUGUUUUCAUGCCACCAAAUACGUACUGCUCGAAGAUGAUCUAUUCUACCGAACGAUUGACGGAGUUCUUCUCAAAUGCCUUGGGACAGAAGAGGCCAAGACUCUAAUGGGAGAAAUCCAUGAAGGGGUAUGUGGGGCACACCAAUCGGCACACAAGAUGAAGUGGAUGAUCAGGAACAACGGGUACUAUUGGCCGACGAUCCUUGAAGACUGUUUCAAAUAUUAUAAGGGUUGUCAGGAGUGUCAAAAGUUUGGAAAUGUCCAGCGUGCACCCGCAUCGGCCAUGAAUCCCAUCAUCAAGCCAUGGCCGUUCAGGGGAUGGGGAAUAGACCUUAUCGACCAAAUUUACCCACCGUCAAGCAAGGGGCACAAAUUUAUUCUGGUGGCUACUGAUUACUUCACCAAAUGGGUAGAGGCCAUCCCGUUAAGAGCUGUGACAUCGGCUAUCAUGGCUGAUUUCGUAAGGGACCACAUCGUCUACCGAUUCGGUAUCCCUCAAACUAUAACAACCGAUCAAGGAACAAUGUUCACAUCGGGGGAAUUUGAGGAAUUUACGACCGAUAUGGGAAUCAAAUUGUUAAAUUCUUCUCCGUAUUACGCCCAAGCCAAUGGUCAAGCAGAAUCCUCCAAUAAAGGAAUAAUCAAAUUGAUCAAAAGGAAAAUCGAAGAACAGCCAAAGAAGUGGCAUUUAUGUUUGACUGAGGCCCUGUGAGCAUACAAGAUGGCUUGUCAUGGGGCUACCAAGUUGUCUCCCUACCAGUUGGUGUACGGUCACGAUGCAGUACUACCAUGGGAAUCGAGAGCGGGAUCAAGACGUAUUUCACUCCAGGACCAGUUAACGGCCGAUGAUUACUCGUCACUUAUGAAUAGAGAACUUGACGAUUUAGCUGGCCAACGAUUGAGGGCUCUGAUAAGCAUUGAAGAAAAUAAAAAGAGAGUAGCCAGGUGGUACGAUAAGAAGGUCAAAGUCAAACAAUUCUCCCCUAGGGACUUGGUAUGGAAGUUAGUAUUGCCGAUCGGGUCGAAAGAUCCUAAAUUCGGAAAAUGGUCCCCUACCUGGGAAGGGCCGUAUAAAAUCGGCAGAUGCGCUCCAGGAAAUGCUUACAUUUUGGAAACAAUAGAAGGAGAAGAAUUUACUAGAGCUCUAAACGGAAGGUACUUAAAAAGAUACUACCCCAGUAUAUGGGUCGGAGCGUAAGAAAUUGACCAUGACACGAUCACACAUAACCGGUACAAAUCGGUUCAGACAAUUAGCCGAUACAAAUCGGUUCAAACACAUAGUCGACCGGAUCGGCCGAUUGCAUUCAUUCGGUACGGGCGACGGAUUACAUGGCCGGCAAAACAUCAGUCGCCCUUAGAACAAAAAAUACAAAAAACAAACUAGUUAUUCUUCUUCUUGGACGCCUUCCCGUUCCGCUCCAACUCGUUCACGACGCGGAGGCGCGAAGUCCCUGCCGCCGCGAGGACGACUGGCCGAGGAAGCAGACGGCUCCUGUCGGCGGGAGGUCGCUGGCUGCCGUUCCUCUCCACGAAGUCUAAGAUCGUACGGGCUGCCGUGGUGAUGUCAUCUUCAAGAUCGUCACGAUGAUGGCUCCUGACGGUUGGAGAUUGACGAUUACUUUCACUCACCACGGAAUCCAAGACCACAUGAGCUUCCGCAGUAAUGUGGUCUUGGAGUUCCUCUCGGUGAGCCAGGAUCAGCGCCUUGUCCUCCGACGUCAACGGGUCAUCGGAGUGAAUGCACUCAAUGGCGCGCACGAGCUCGGGGCUAAGACGUUGAGGCUGAAAUAGAGAAGGAAUAAGAAGGGACAUUCUCUUCCUAGGAUCUAAGGGAAGGUAGAGGUCAGGACUUCACCUGGUUAAUGGAAGAAGAAGAAGCCGAUGAAGCCAUGACAAAGAGUCACACCGACGAGAGGAAGAAGAAAAGUAAACCAAAAGCCAAAUUGGUGCUAUCGGGACUAAGCGCCGAGGUCGGUAUUUAUGGAAAAAGAUGCGUGGAAAUCUGGUAAGGCCACGUCCCAUCGGUAAUAAGAAAGGCAAUAAAUAGAAAGGGCGUCGCGAGAGACGGUCAAAGAAGAUAGUAAAUGUUCAUACAAAACGGUCAGUGUUUUACAGAUUACCCAGAAGGGUAUCGAUGGCCGUGAUGGCCCGACGCCGGAUCUGAUCGGCACAGUCAAGAACCUGUUGGUCUUCUUCCGCCGAUCCAGGGACCUCCGGUGCGCUGCGAUGGAGUCUCAGGGCCUCAUGAGCAAAGCGUUGCCUAUCCCGUGUCAAAUCGGCAAUAACAGAGGGUAGCUCUUGGAGUUUGUUCUCUUCGGCACUGAUUGCCUUAGUCACUUGCUCCAUCUCCUUGGCAAGCUCCGCCCUCCGACGUUUGAGGCGGUCUAUCUCGCUGAUGAUCGCCGGGCGGGAAUCUUCUAGAACGUGGAUACGCCGAUGCGCCUCUUGAGCCUGACGCUUGAAAGCGUCUUCAUCUUCAUGGGUCUUGGCCAGUUUAGCGCGAUCGGCCAUAUGAUGAAGGGCCCUGAAGACUGGGAUCCUCAUGGACUCGAUGAAGGCCGCCGGCGCUAGGGCCUCCUCCGCCUCCUCUGGUACUCGUCCGCUGACGUCAUUGAAGAGUAACCGAAUCGGCGAAGCAUCUUCUACUAGUCGGCCGAUGUCCCCCUGAAGGAGGGAUCGGAUGCUGGAAAGUUUAGCUCGGACGUCAUCAGGAACGGAGCUCAGGGCGACUUGGCGAGAAGCAACUUCUUCGUCAUCGGAAAGGGCAACCGCAAAGGAAAAGAGGCUGUUGUCGGGGGUGUCUUGUUCCUGGAGAAAAUAAAGAGAAAGGAUAAAUCGGCGGGGAGUAAGAGCAAAUCGGCUGGAUAGAAGCCGAAACAGAAACUUACCAUUUUGAAGCGAAUUUCCUCAUGCUGCACUUGUGAAGCCGUCAUGCCUUGCUCAGGAGCCUGCGCCAUGGGUUCAUCGGAUGAAGAAGACUCCACGAUAAUCGGCGCGGUGCUUGGACCGGCUCCCUGAGAAGAGAUCGGUGGUCGAGGAGCGCUUAGUGUGCCGAUGGCCUGUGUCAGAGGAUUGAAUAAGUACAUUACACAAACACCCAAAGGAAAUCGGUAAGAUAAGUACUAUACCUCAACAGAUGGGGGCAGGGGCGCGUCGAUGGCUGGUUGAGUUGCUGCCGAUUGUUGUAUUUCCAUAGGGGUGCUCUGUGUGGUCUAAGGUUAAGAAGGGUUAAUAUCGGAAUAACAAUCGGGGGCAGUAAAGCUCAGGUUUACCUGUAUGGCUUCCAACAGCAACGAUGCGACGGCCGCCCCAGCUUGCGUGAUGGCUUGAGUAUCGGCACCGUGAAUGACCUGAGAGGGUGGUGCGGUCGAAGUUUCUGCCGAUACGAGCACAGGAGGAUCCGCCGAUUCCGUACGAGCCCGGACUCGGCGACUGGUCUUCUUAGUGGUCCUCUUAUGAACUUGUUUCGAUCGGCCAGCAAUCAUGUCAACAGACGGGGCGUCAUAGCCGAUAAGAGGAUAAGUCGUAUAUGGAUGACUCUCUAUUAGCCGUUCGCUGCGGCUGUGCGUUGGAGGGGUCCGAUUCUCGGCCUGAAGAAAUAAUAAAGUCAUUAGUACUCAAUCAUGUUAAGAGGAAUAAAAAUCAGCUAGGUGAAGUACCUCAGCGUUCGGGUCGAUGUUGGCCGGGUCCAGAAGGUUGCAGUAUGCCGAUGCUGAGUUGCAGAAAAGAAAUUGCUUCCAAUCGGCCCACCAGAGUUUGAACGGCUGGACAGCAAAUGGAGCUACUAGCCAGUCGUUCAAGUUAAUGGUACUGGAGUCCGGAAUUUGGUCUCGCAACCGACUGUAAUCCAGGCCAGAUGUGAGCUCAUCUCUAAACUUGAUCCGGCCAGCAAAGUACACUUGAAUUGGCAGCUGACCCAUGCCGAAUUGACGUGCUGCAGCGGAGGGGUUGUAGAAUUCGUACGUAGGGGCAUCCUUCCCCGAGAAGAAGUUGGCUUGCAGGAGUCCUGGCUUGAUCAACUCUUCAUAGAGAUCUUCAUCAAAUCGGCCGGAAGCCGAAUCGAAGAAGGUAGGGAGUUCAAAGACCGGGUCGUCUCGCUGAUACGGAAACCAAGUGGUUGCGUCUUCAUUAAAUCCAUUGUAGAAGCAUCGAAAGUACUCGGCUACCUUUGUAGCAGAAUACGCGCAACCUGGAAAAGCUGACGCCGAUUCGCCAAAGGACAUGCAUCGGCGACGUUCGGUAGGGUCCUCCGCCGAUUCGAUAUUGGGGAACGUCAUGUGGUCCACCGGCUGCUGGGUGAUUCUGCUCAUGUAAAGGUUCAACCACAGAUUGAUGAACCACCAGGGCCCACCUUGAUUGCCGAUCGGCUCUCCCUUGGAUAGUCUUUUGCCGAUUUGAUGAAGCAUAUGGUACGUGGCCCCUAGCAAAUGUUUCCCAAGAGGGAUAUGGUUUCCCCUGGACAAUGCUUCAGCUAAGGUCUGGGUAUUGGUUGUCGGGCCGGCGGCUCUUCCGCAAAAGAAGUGCUUUUCUAGCCACAUCAUCAGGAAAGCUGUGUGCUCCCUGUUCUCAACAGUCCCGGUCCUCUUAUUACUUCUGAUGAAGCCCUUCCAUCCGCCGAUUCCCCUUGUAUCCAGCCGAUGUGACGUUGUGGCUAAAAGGUGGAAGGGUGUAUCUGGGGAGGAUAUGUCAAGGCCGGUCAACAGGACCACAUCAGCCAGUGUGGGGGUCAUAGGACCGUGCCCAAAUAAGAAUGCAUUAAGUGCAUCAGACCAAAAAUAAGAAGCCGCCAUCACUAACGGCUCAUUUUUCUCCAUCUGAGAUAAGGAGAGGUUGAUGCACUGGCCAAUUUUGAGCUCUUCCCAUGAGAUGCUCCUUGAUGCGGCCACCCGUUGGUACCACUCCCUCCAACCUAGGGUUUCAUUCGGCCAGGAUCUAAAAGUGCCCAGCCAGUGGUCUAAGUUCAUAUCAGACAGUUUCAAGGGUAUCCGGUCGGUUUCCAAAUUUAUGAGAUCUAUUGGAUCUGGGUUUCCCAUGGGACCGAGACAAACAAGGCCAGGGCUUCCCGUGAGGUGAAUGGUAAUUCUAUGCCUAACCGCCUAAAAAAGAAGGGGAGUGUAGAAAAGUAAGAAACAGAUCUAAGGUGAAUACAUUGCCGAUAGAAGAAGGAUUCGGUAUUUACCUCUGGGAUGAAGUUCUGAGUGAUCGGCGUGGUCGCCGAUGCGGAUGCGGAUGACGGGGCCGCGAUGGGGAUCGCCAUUGGGAUCUCCGAUGAAGCCCCUUCAUCUGUGGAUGGAGUGACAGUUGUCGCCACCACCACCGGAGAUGCUACAUCUGGGGCGUCGCGUGCGGGAGAGCUGCCGGAAGGAGCCGCCAUUGGAAGAGAAGAGGGAAGAAGUAACAGGAGGUGGAGCUAGAAAGCUUCGGCGGUAAGGGAAAGGUGCUGAAGGAAGAAGAAGGCGCGCGCGCUGGGAAAAGAGACGUAAGCUUCAAGAUGAGGUGCGGGUGAAGCGCUAUUUAAAGGAUGCCUGAAGGGGGGUAAAAAUGGAAUUUUCACCGCACCGGCGCUUCGAGUUUUUCGGGAGUAGUGGCUGUCGUGGGCGCCCGUUUUGAAAAAUUGCAAUGAUUAGCUGGAAGACCGCGAAACGGACAGAUGUUUUCACUGCGGCCGUUUCGGAGGGGAAGUUAUAAAGAAUUUCGAAGUAAAAGAUUAUGUUUUACUCCGAAACUGGGGGGCAUGUGUUGACACCGGAUUUCGUCACUAGUAGAAUCGGCGCUAAGAAGAGGGGGAAUCGGAGAAGCACAGUUGGGAAUCGACCAAAAUGGUGCUACAGUGUGAGAUCGGCCGGUGACUUUUGUCUCGCUUUGGGUCGAAUGCACCAGGGUCCCAAUCGGUAAUCUUUUGCCGAUAAGGAAUCGGCCGAUUAGGAGGAUGGGCUAAUUGGACCUGUAUGGGCUUGGAAAGGGAUAGAAGGAUAAGGUGGAAAGCAGCCCACGAAGCGUGGAGUAACCAACCUAGCACGAAUUGUGCUUGUAGAUAUUCGUUUUCUGUUUGAAUUAGGGAUAGAAUUCUAGUCGGUUAAGAAGUUAUCUGUACGGGGCUAUAAAUAGCUACCUUUGUAAAUCUGUGAUCAUCAACCAAUCAAUACAACAAGCUACUUUUUUCCUCGUACUUACUUUCAAGCGACUUCGCUACUACUUUUCUCUUUUCUACGAGUUCGUGCGGGUUGGCGGGGCUGCAUCAUCUUGAUCUCCGGCCGAUUCUGUAAGUUCCGUUUAUCGAGUAAUAUCUAAGCUUUAACUUCGGGUGUAUCGCUAUUGUUUCGUUUAGAUUUAUUCACUAGUUAUCGAUAUUCGCUAGAUUCAUAGGUUUUUACCUGUUUUUCUAGUCUUUAUCACCAGUUAUCCAGCUAGGAAUCGGUAGUAUUGGCUUUCUUUAUUUCCUAUCGUUAGAUUCAUCUAUUGCCGAUUAGAUCUGUUCCUAGUGUUGUUAUCAUAAGCUUUGUACCGAAUACUCUAGCAAUUUCCUGUCUACUAGGCUACAGAGAUCAGGCUGUCUUAUAGCCGAUUUCAUUACCACGGUAAAUCGGCCGAGUCGCUGAUAAACUCUCUCGAUCGGAAACUUAGCCGAUCGUAAUUUCUGGACCUGACACGUGUUCUUCCUUGCCAAUCAACAGGUCAGAUUGGCUGGCACGCCACGCGAACCGCACCAGGGCAUUCACCCGAACAGGAGCUAAGCAGAUUCUCCCGGGUCGUGUGUCGGUCGCUUGGAUUCGGUUGACCGAUUUCUAGCGCCAACAAAAAGAUUGUCCAAAAUAAUGGAAGAAAUUUAUAGUUAUUGUUUUAGAUCUCAUGUACAUUGUGAUAACUAAUCAUAUCACAAGAAUAUUUUUCAUUCCAAUCAAAUUGCAGCCCAAUUCACAUGGCAUCCCUAUUGAGAAUUCACAUUUUAAAAUUUAAAAUUGGAUUCACAUUCACAAUUUCACAAUUCACAUGCAUGCAUCCCUAUUGAGAAUUGACAUUUAAAAAUUUAAAAUUAAAUUCACAUUCACAAUUUCACUAAGUACUACUAUUCACAAUUAAAAUAAAAUCAAAUUGAGAAAAAUGAAAAGAAAAUAAAAUAAAUUUAGGAAACUGACGCUCGGAGAUUGGAGGCACGGUUGGCCGGUGACACAGAGAGGAGGGGCCUGGCGGUGGAGCGGCGCGGGAAGGGGAGGCACCGCGGUGGCAGCCCGAGAAAGAGGAGGCAGGGUCGGCCAGUGACAGGAGGGGCCCGGCCCCGACGGUGGAGUCGGCGCGGGGAGGGGAGGCACCAUGACAGGAAGGCGCCGCGUGAGAAGGGGAGGAGGCGUGGCGCUGCGACCCGGUGUGGACUGCCUAUAUAGGAGGGCAUUAGCAAGGACCCACCCCUAGUAACCCUUUCCAGGGGCAGGUGAUGUGACGCCAUCACCCACACCUGUUAACGAUUUGCAGGGGCGGGUGAAGCCAUUACCCACCCCUUCAAAUUAUUUUGCUUUUUUGUUGUUAAAAAUUCAUUUAAAAUGUGAAAAAUAGCAAAAUACCAAAAAAAAAUUGAAACUCCCACACUAAGGUUAUAAUGAACUAUAGAUCAUGGAAAAAAUAAGCCAAGAGUAUUUCAGUACAUAUAAGGGUUAAGAAUGUAGAAAUCUUAAAGUAUUGCUUCAGUAACAUAGAAAAUUGCUUUUAAAAUCAACAUCUAGCCAAUGACAUUUAGUACCGGUGCUAGACAUUGACCGAUACUAGCCACUGACCAGUACUAAUACCUAACGCGCGGGCAUCGUAGCAGGAGAUGGUCUUGGUCUUCAUGCACACAACAUAGUAUGCACAUCGAAGCAGGAUCGAUUUUAGUUAGCCUGGAUAUGGAUUACAAGUACCAAAAGGAAAGGAAAGGAUAGGGAGCAUGUGGCUAUGGCGUCGCUUUUGCCCAAAGGAGGAAAGAGGCGUCACUACACGGGCUGCCGAGCGCCGAGUUUGGCGUUGAAGAAAGUCGCGACCAGGAACUUAAAGACCAAAUUUGUGGCUAACUUUUUCAGUGCGGCUAUUUUGGUUUCCGUUAGGGUACUUCAGUUCGGUUUCGUUCAUCGGUUAAUUAUGCUCACCCCAUCGAUUUCUGUCAAGUUAGCUGAAAGGAACAACUUCUUUGAUGGGAUGAAUACUUGUUUUGGGCUUGCAAACUGAAUUUGCAAAGCCUGGUUUGUUGGGUAGGCCAUUUUAUUCGACCGAAACUGAGAUAAAUGACAUGAGACUAAAAAAAGAGAAAGUGAUAAAUAAAAGAUCUGUGCAGUUGUUGUACAGUUGGUUUAUGCAGAUAUGCGCUCUCAUGACCAAGUCCUAGUAGGUUACGCUAAUUAACUGAAGGAUCUGGUAACCCAAUCUACCUUAGAUAGCAGCAAGCCAUGUAACCCAGGUGGUUUUACCACGCAACAUGGCUCAUGCAUAACGAGUGGGAGCAGGUUAUGCAGAUUCAUCACGAUCAGCCGGCCAGCCACACGCCUUGGGAUUUGCUAUCAUGGUAACCGAAUCUGCCUUAUAUGGUAGCAAGCCAUCUCCGGUGCACAUGGGUUACACCGUCUGCAUCUUUGUCCUCCGAGAACGUGCCAACACGGAUCAGCAGGUCUGCUUCUGAACCAACCAAUGUGUUUUUCAAUCCUUGAUGUCCCCUUGUUCAUGAAAAAUACAAACUAAUGCAAGAUAAUGACGAUCUGAAUUCCUGUCCAUUAUAUAUUUCAGGUGCUUGGAAGAAGGUGCUGAGAACUUCCUGCUCAAGCCUGUCAGGCCGUCGGACAUCUCCCGCAUAACCACCCGGAUGCUACUGCACUGAGCUCUGCUUGGAUCAGUGGCCACCGCAGUCAAUCGCAUUGCUAUUAGUAGUGUUUUGCAGUAAUAGAACUCGAGUAAAUUUAGAAUAGCUAUUAGUUUGCACGAUGUGUAAUGCAGUUGGGGAAUGCUCCUGCUCCUUAAUUAAAUAGCUUUGGGUUAUCUUUGGGUGUCAUUCUCGGAAACUAGUAGCAGCAAUUAGCUGUAGGAUUCCAGUAGCGAGUUUCUUCUUUCCCUAAGAUUUGAGAUGUGUAACCAGUGCAUGAAUCUUUUUGUUUAAAGUAGGAUUACGGUGCCUGAUCCUUUUGCCACCACUAGUAAGUUUUGUUUUCUAUCUGUGUCCAUCCGAGUUUGAUAUCUUGAUCCGUAUCCUGUGAUUAACUUCUUUUUAAUCUCUGAAUGAUUUGAUGCAAUCUUCGUGAUGUUAUUAUAUACUAGCCAAAUGCCCGUGCGUUGCUACGGUAAAAUGUGGUUGUAUUUUCUAAACCUCGUGUAUUUUUAUAUUUCUACUACUAUAUUUUAUUAUAACGGAUCUAUAUAUUUGCUAGAAAAUCAAUAUAAUUUUGACUUAACAUAUGUUUUCUACUCGUACUUACUAUACUUUUUAUACUUUUUAUUUAAGCAAGUGAUAACCAUUCUAAUUUUAAUCUUAGAGGAUUAUAUAAGCGAACCCGCAACAUCAGAUUACCGUUAUUUCAACCCGCCACCUUUUGAUGAAAAUGUGUAGCCCUGUACAAAUAAUCGUGUUACAAAAACUACGUCCUUCUUAAUAACCUAAGCAUUCGAUGUUCUAUAUAAUAGUGUUACUUGUCCUUUCAAUUUCAAAGCAUGAUCUUGACCUGCUAAAUCAAUUGCAACUGAAUAUAUGCCAAGAUUCUCAUGCAGCUGAUGCUUAGUGAUCUAGCAAUUCAUAUUGUAAAAAACUAUGUUUGGCACAUGACCAGAUGUUUACACUUCACACUGUCAAAAUUGGAAAUACCAUCACAAAUGCAUCAGCUGCUUUUGUUAUUCCUAGGAGCAAGUAGCUCCGGUCAAUUGUGCAGUGUUGUGCAAAAGGCUCUUCCACAUCGCCUAUGUCCAUGACUAUUCGAUCUGAUGCAUCGGUUAUCCUCUCAUACACGACAUGGUACUAUAAGUUCCGUCUUUUAGGGAAGCAAUGAAAGUGUUGUUACCUAUCACUUUGCUUAAAAUUCUAUUUAUGUACUCUAUAGUUUCUCCGCACGCACAUGGGUAAAAUAGGCAGUCAAGAAAAAAAAUGAGUUCUUCGCUCGUCAGCAUGGAUGAUUAGUAGACAGACAUUUUUUUAAAAAAAUAGUGCACCGAUAAGUAUUUUAUGAACAUAAACUGCAUUCAGCCAAUUGUACAGGAGCAUUUAUAUAUUGGAUGAACCGUUAAAAGCCAACAUUGACCAGUGACCAUAAGCAUAUCGGGAUCCAAAAGCAACAGAAACCUACUUAUAGAGCUAACUCCUUGGGGGCUCCUUAUCAAAAACUCCUUGGGUGCAUGCAGUAGAUAACUAUGGGUCUUCAGCAUCUUAGCUAGGGGACAAGAUGGUACAAAAGAUGAAACGAAGGUUCAGCAGCGGCUGGUAAGUGGCCGAUUUCUUGUCAAAAUUACUGAAGCAUGAAGUACACCAAGUAUCAGACUUUGGAUUUGCCUUUUCCUUUUGCGGUGUGAGUGAAACGAGUCUUCUUCGCUUUCUUGUUCUUUCUGCCAGAAUCGCCAUCUGAGUCGUCAUCACUACUAUUGUCAGACUUGUCAUUUGAUUUCUUCCGGAACCCGAUCCAUAUACAUAUUCCUUGGCCUUCUGUUUGGUCCUUUCUUCUGUAAAUUCAUCUUCAAUCUUUGGUUUCCAUAUGAAAAUGGACCUGCAAGGACCAUCUUGUGAGUUGUGGGAGGGGAAAAAAAGAUCUAGCACUGGAUAGUGAUAUUGGGCACUAAUACAUCGAUAGGCCUACCUUGAGCUUCCUGUUGCCAGGAUGUCAUCUUGCGGGUGUAGCUUGUUCACUGGGCUGAUUGUUGUUAUGUCAGGAUCCAUCACCUCUGAAGUGUAUGUCAGUGAGGAAUUGCUAGGCUACAGUAGCAUCUUAAACCUCUUGGUCCAGGUGUUGCAAUACCAAGACAGGUUCUUUUGGCACUUUCAGAAUGAUUUGGUUCUGAUCCCAGCCAGCUCUUUCCAUUUGCUCGAGGAAGUCAGUAAAUCCAUGCUCCAAUGCUAGAAUGCUAUCCUCUAGCCAAGAGAAAAUCUCAUCCUGGUUUUUUCCCAUUUUUUUGAAGCCAAUGUGCCUGCCAGAGGCUUCUCAGGACAGACAUGCUGUUUGCCGCCUCCUGAAAAUAAGUGAAGCAGAUACAUGAUAUGCAUUUGUUGAUCUGAUGGACAGCUAUUUAUAUGGCAUUUUCAGCAGUAAAUCACUUGAAUGCAACAAGAAAUGUUGGCUCUCUUGAUCCAAACUGCUCAACAAAGAGAACAUACUUCUCAUUCUUGUACAACUUCAAUGGUCUAUUCACCUGGCAGCCAAAAGCUCCGCCUCGAAAUCCGAUGCCCGCACCUCAGCUCCCCACAAGCGCGUCAGAUCUCCAUCCAAAUUUCCUCAAACCGAUUGAUCGCCGCAGCAUCGACCACGAAAUCCUACCUGUAUUGCCCCACCGACCCAAGACGCGAGCCACCCGCCGGCCCGCGCGCACGGAACCUCAGGACCGCGGGAAGGGAGGAGGGGCAGACCUGCGCAGCGCUGGUGGAUGGGCGCGACUGGCCUGCGGACGCUGAGGCCAACGCAGAAGAGGCCACCACCGCCCGGCCGACCUCGCCGCUGAGGCCGCGCGGGGCGCCCUGCUCCGGCCGCCGCUCGUGUUUCCAAGGAAGGAGAAGCUUUUUCCCUUUAACCCCCUCUCUUCCCUCCCUUUUCCACCCGAGGCCUUCCUCUCUUCAGAAUUUGGACUGCGGGUUGAUUUCAUGAAAUGUCAGGGCUUUUUUUGCAAAAUUAGGGCGACGUACGAAAAUCCUGGCAGAGACGUUGCUUGCUUUAAUAAUAGGUAUAGAUAGAUAUGUUAUGCCCAUAUUCUUGGGGAUACCUUUAGGUUGCCAGGAGACCAGCUGACGCGUCAGAUAGUACUUCUCGUCGAGAAUCUGCUAGCGAACUUGAUAGCUCAAGUCAUCAUCAAGCCUACCGUCGCGUUCAAAGAAGGCGUGACGUUUUUAUUUAGCUCCUGGGUUUGCGUCGCAGACGACGCCGGAAAUUUCCACUGCCACAUUGCGCCAGUCCAGAGAAGAAGCUCCCGAUUCACUCGAUGGAGAAGUUUUAGAUGUGACAUUACAUAUUUUAAUAAGAAUUAAUUAUUGUCGCAAGCAUACGACUCAUAAUGAAAUAAAGAAAUAGGAGCUGUUCAAUUUUUCCAAAGAACAGAAAGAGUAAGAACUUAUUAUUAAAUAUAUAGAACAUAGAUGGAACACAAAAUACAAAUCAGCUCAUCUGAUUUUAGGUAGAUAUUAUUUCAUAUAUUUUGAGAGUAGGGUACAGAGCGAGAGAGUGCCACUAGUUUACAAUGUUGCGAAAGUACUUACUCCAUAAUAGGAUAGAGUUUAUAGAUGUCCAUACAGCCCGCAGCCCGUUAGCCCGGCACGGAGUCCGUUUUUUUGGCCCGAAUGUAGCCCGGCCUGGCAUGAAGUUUUUCGGACCCAUGCUGGCCCGGCUCGGUAACUCGUGCCGGGCAUGGGCCACCAUCCUGGCACGACGGGUGGCCCAGCCCAGCACGAGUUUUAGAGGCCAGCCCGAGCCGGCCCGUUAACUCCUUCAAAGGCUUUAUCUCCAACUCCAACCAGUCAGCUCCUCUCCGUUCCAGCCUUAUCCAAUCCUCUCCGUUCGUCUCCUCGCCUCCCCAGGCUCCCAUUGACCCCUCCGGCCUCCGGCGACCACCUCCCUUCCGGCCUCCGACGACCGUCUCCCCCGCCUCCCCUCCAAGCUCCAGGAUAUGCCUCCCCAGCUCCCCUGCAGCCUUCCUCUGGGCUCCGGCGAUGUGCCAUGGCGAGGGGGUGAGCGGGCGGCGCUGGCGCGCAGGGAUGGGGCCACCGCUCCAGUCUCCACCUCUCCUCCCCUACGCCGCCGCCACCACUCCGCCUGACCUACCCUUCGCCGCCGGCUCCGCUUCCCUCCGGCCAAAAGGUGAGCCACCUCCCUCUGCCCCUCCCGGUGGCUGGCGCGGCGGCACCCUUGCUUAUGCGGCUGCGACGGCGAGCAAGCAAGUAGUGGCGACGGUGGCGGCGCGCAGGAGCAAGCAAGAGGCAACGUGCAGGGGGCAGCUCGUUGAGCAGGAGGCGACGGCGGUCACAGUGGUGCACAGUCAGCAAGCUGUGAGGGCCCACCGUGCCUCGGGGGGGGGGCGAAGGCAGCCAUGCUUUACAGGCCAGCCCGGCACGAAAAAGGCACUGCGAGCCCAUGCUUGGGCCGUCGGUGCAGCCCGUGGGCUGGCACGGCAUGGCACGAAAACUAACGGGCCUUGCUGGGCCCGUGCCGUAUCGGGCCGGGUGGCCCGGAUGGACAACUUUGAUAGAGUUAGCUGCCUCAACUCACGCAGCCGAUGCUUCCAUAAUGCCAAAUCAGCAGCCACAACAAGGAAGAUGUGGUUCUCAUAGGCACGAUAGAGUUGUUAAAAGACUAGUCAUCUCGGCCCUUCCAGUUGUGUUCCACAGCAAGGUGGGGAUGAUUGGCGAGCAGACGCGGCGGUCCUCCACUUGUAAAAGGCCAUGUAACCCCAGUGGACGCGCAACAAGUCAAGGUACGGCACAACACAGGGCCACCCAUUGGUCCAGAGGCACCUGACGCGCGGGCAUCGUAGCAGAAGAUGGUCUUGGUCUUCAUGCACACAUCAUAGUAUGCACAUCGAAGCAAGAUGGAUUUUAGUUAGCCUGGAUAUGGAUUACGAGUACCAAAAGGCAUAGUCAAAGGAAAGGACAGGGAACAUGUGGCUGUGGUGUCGCUUUUGCCCAAGGGAGGAAAGAGGCAUCACUACACGGGCUGCCGAGCGCCGAGCAUGGCGUUGAAGAAAGUCGCGACCAGGAACUUAAUGACCGAAUUGGUGGCUGACUUUUUCGGUGCGGCUAUUUCAGUUUUCGUCAGGGUAAUUCGGUUCGGUUUUCGAUCAUCGGUUAAUUAUGCUCACCCCAUCGGUUUCUGUCAGGUUAGAUGAAUGGAACAACUUCUUUGAUGGGCUGAAUACUUGCUUUGGGCUUGCAGACUGAAUUGGCACAGCCUGUUUUGUUGGGUCGGCCAUUUAAUUCGGCCGAAACUGAGAUAAAUUAUAUUGGUACGAAGGCAAAUAGUAUGUAGGUUCUUAUAAUUUUUAAGAAGAAUGAGGUCAUACCGGUAAAGCUUUUGAAAUGUAGAUCUAAUUAUGAUGAGUACAAAGGGCUCAUUAGCAGUACAUACACCAAAUACAUUUGCCAACUAGGUGGGCCAUACUAGAUGGCCAGGCCCAUCAGAUGAUUACUUGAUUUACUCAUAUAGUAAACGAUUACCGAACAUGAGAUCUUCUAUGCUUAUAUGCUAGGAAUUUGUUUCAACGAUGUCGUACUUAAACCAUUAGAGUUUUCGUGUAACCUGGAAAUUUUGGAUCUUGUGUGACGCAUGCACAGAGGUGUUGUACUGUUGCGUAAAAUGUAGCCUUGGCAUAACCAUUCGAAUGGAUUCUGCAUCGUACAUAAACCAUCAGUGUUUUCAUGUAAACCAAGAAUUUUGGAUUGUCUGUGCCGCAUGCACAGAGGUGUUGCUUGGCGUAACCAUUCGAAUUGAUUCUUUAUGAAGAUAACAUGGAAUGUAACUACGAGACCUGACGACGUAACCCGUGCGAAUGAGAGUAAAAACAACAGCCUCCGGCGGUGGCACCCCACCACCAACCUAUCGGACAUUGACCGAUCGACGGUGGAGUUUCCUUGGCCCAACAAUUUUAGCAGAGUCCCGCCGAUUCUUGGAUGACAUCCGGGAUCAAUUAUCCUGGAUUGGCCGUGAUUAGUACAAAGUUCCGCCGGUGACCAUGCAGAUGCACUCAUUGGUGACAUCAAUGAAGGAUAGGGGAUACUAAGAGACCGCGGCUGUACAAUGAUGUUGCUACCCUCGUUGGUUUCUCCAUUCCUUUACGCGACACUGAAAAGAUGGUGCCACGUGUCACAACAGGAUACGCUUAGCCAACCUUUACGGGACUUUAUGCGAACCGCACUGAAGAAAGCCUCCACUUCUAUGGACUAGCUUGCCAAAUCCAUUGUAGUUGAUUAUUAAAAGAAAUUUAGAUUUUUGCCACCGCAAACGACGGGCUUCGCAAAAUCACCAAUGCACACAUAGGUUUCGCAUAAUCACCACUUAAAAUAUCGACGCUUUGUUUUGUUUGCCAUUUUCUCCCAUUUAUUGAUUUUGCAUUUUUCAGGGCAGUGAAUGGACCAGAUUGCCCCUAAGCCCUUUGACUUAUCUGGCUGGACUACCAGAUUGCAUAUGCUGCUUUGGAAUGUUUGAACUACCAUGGAGGCUCAGGUAUAGUGAAGGAACCUAAGAGAGUGCCCCUUAUGACUGGAUUUCAAUGGGUACAGAAAAAUCUUGAGAAUAGUAAUGAUUGCUAUGAUAUGUUUAUGUUCCACCGACUGCAUGAUUCUUUUGUCAAUGAGUAUGGCUUGCAAGCAAGUAGAGGAAUUUGUACCAUGGAUGCAUUAGGAAUAUUUUUAUGGGCAUGUGGUGCACCACGAUCUUUUAUGCAAGUCAAAAAUAAGUUUGGACACUCACUAGAGACUAUCAGUAGGAAGUUUGGAGAGGUACUGGAUAGUAUCAAUAGCAUGGCUGGUGACAUUAUAAAACCAAAAGAUCCUCACUUUACAACAACUCAUUCUAGGAUUUGGGAUAACUCAAGGUUUUAGCUCCAUUUUAAGGAUUGUAUUAGUGCAAUUGAUGGAACACACAUACCUGUUAUGAUCCCAUUGAGUGAACAACCAUAAUACUUUGGUCAAUAUGGUUAUGCAUCACAAAAUGUAAUGGCGGUGUGCGAAUUUGAUAUAAGAUUCAUAUUUUUUGUCACCUAUUGGCCAGGUUCAGUUCAUGACACUCAUGUAUUGCUAGAUACUUUGGAAACAUACAAUCAAUAAUUUCCACACCUCCCAGAAGGGAAGUAUUAUCUUGUUGAUUCGAGAUAUCCUAAGAAAGAUGGGUAUCUAGCCCCUUACAAGGGUCUAAGGUACCAUGUAUCUGAAUGGCAACAUGGGAGACAACUAGUGGACUUCAAAGAGGUGUUUAACCAUGCACAUUCGUCCCUUCGAAAUGUGAUCGAGCGUUGUUUUGGUGUUCUAAAGAUGAAGUGGCGCAUUCUUUUGAGCUUGCUUGCCUAUCCCAUCAACAAGCAAGCUAAAAUCAUAUCUGCAGUUAUGGCUCUUCACAAUUUCAUAAGGGAUAGUGCUAUACAUGAUGCUGAUUUUGAAAACUAUGUUCAUGAUAAUGAUAGUCAAGAUGGCGCAAGUAUUGCUCAUGAUGGGAGUGCUUCAGCAGAUGACACUGAUAUGGGUGCUUUGCAGGAUUCCAUUGCUCCGGCUUUAGUAGCACGAUUGCUCAUAUAGUUGCUUUUGUUAUUUUGGACGUACGAGGAGAGAUUGUAAUAGGCUCUAGUAAUGACAAUUGAUGCCUUAAUUAAAAAUUAAUGAACCUAUAAUAUCAAAAAUUAAUGCUUUUAGCAAUUAAACAAGGUAUUAUCACCCUCAGUGGCAUACAUGCCAUUACACACUCAGCACAAAUAAUCUCCUAACAGAAAAUCAGGUUGCCAAAUACUCUGCUUUUCUACCAGCAGAUUAUGUGGAUAGCAGCUUUUGAGGGUAGCUAGAUUUCCAAAGAAUUGUUAUUCAGAAAAGCUGAAACAAAUAGGCCCGAAUCAAUUGGAUAAAAUCGAUGUGGUAUCUGUCGCCACUGGCGGGUAGUUCGCCGGCGCCCGCCCACCUAUCGCUGACUGCCGUCCACUCGCCUGUCCGUCUUCCUAUGCACCGGCUGACGGCCACCGUCCGCCUACUGGCCGCUUGCUCGCUGGCCGCCGCUGCUGUUGUAGGCAAGGAGCGCGGCGCAGAUGCACAUGGAUGGCGCGAGGGAGCACCAUGUUGUCUGGGUGCGCGAUGGUGCCCGGCAACUAGUGCCUGCUUCGGCAGCCUGAAGCCCAGGUACAGGGCAUGAAGGAAGUUGUUCUGAAGGGAUAGCUUUGCAGAGGAAAUUGAAGGCUGCGACCAGGAGCGGACCCAGCAACGUCGUGCGCCGUGACACAUGCUAAAUAACGUGGGCCAUGUAGCUUUGUGUCAAAUCCUAGGAUAGUGCAGGCUUCUUGGACCUUUAUUUUAAGCUCUUUUACGUUGCACAACGGUAGUAUAGAGUAUAAUUUAUUUUUUUAUGGGUAAAAUUGGAAUUAGCACGUCAUAGGAAUUUUUUUUGGCGACUCUGUUCUCCCCGCACCGCCGCCAUCUCCCCACGCGUCGCCAAUUUUUUCGCGAAUCUGUUUCCCCGCGCGCCGCCAGUCCACGCGCAGUCCCCCGCCCGCACGCCGCCCCUUCACCGCCGGCACGCCGCCCAGUCGGUCGCGUCCCCACGUGCCGCCAGUCCACCCGCCGCCAUGUCCCCACGCGCCACCAGUCCCCCGCCCGCACGCCGCGCCUCCAGACGGCCAGCUGCAAGAAGCUCACACCAAGAACCCUUCUCCUGAUCUCCUCCCCAUCCUCCUCGUCGCACCGUCGCCAUUGUUGCUUCCUCGCUGCAACGCGGCGUCGAUCACGAAGAUGCUUCUGCUGAGGGCGCCGACGCGAACGGCGUACGCGAAGGUGGACGCGGAGGAGGCGCGGCAGCUCAGGGCGCAAUACCUGAUCCAGAAGGUGCUGGAGGAGAAGAGCCCGGCGGCGCGGUCCCGGCCGCCGGCGCUGGUGCGGGUGAAGGCGAGGAUCGGCGUGCGGCUGAAGAAGCUCAGGCUCGCCAUCCGGAGCGUCAGGGUGCGGGCGUGCCGGACCCUGCAGAGGCACCUCAGGAACCUGAGGAAGCUCAUCGCGCUCGGAGGUCAGCAGGGAUCAGGGGGAGGCUUCUUGAUGAUGCCUCGCUUUCUGAAAGAAAGAAAGUCCCAUGUUUUUUUUUGUUUUUUUUUCGUGUUCUUGUGUGGAUCAAAGCAAUGGCUGAUAACAUCUGAGCUUUUGCUGAGAGGUUUGGGAUCACAAUCUGUAUCUGUUUAAUUAGGUGGUGGAAGGGAUCAUAUACAUACAAAAAAAUGUGUAAUAGUAGUAGGAAUCAAGCAAUGCCACUGUUCAAGUUUUGCAUUUUUAUGCCUUGCGGUGUUCUGGAAUCCUGCUCUGCCAGUUCAGCAGAAGUCAGCGAUUUCUUAUUUCUCCACCUUUAUAAUAUAGUUUUUGCUAGUUUCUGGUACAUUGUAUCAUGGUCUGAUCAAUCUUUUUCAAUAAUCCAGCAAUCUCUGUAUCCAAGCAUCCUCCUUUUCUGGAUCUGCUUUUUUUUUGUGUGUUUUUGUGUGUAAGUGAACUCUGCAGUAUGGUUUGCUAUCCACGCUGAUCUGGAGCAGGAUUGACAUGAUCGAUAAAAAAAAGCUCUCACCUUACCUACUCUUCUUCUAUGCAACUCCAAAUCUUCAGUUAUUUACUUGGCUGGUCUGGGGUGGCCAGCGGCAGCGGCAGCAGGAGUACUAGCGAUCAGAUAGUUCUCUAGUGCACGAUAGUCACUUAGGUUGAAUCAUUUUCUGUAUAGUUGCCGAGUGAGUCGUUGAACAGUGUGCGUACGCCCUGGAUGACUCGCGUUGUAAAUCAAAUGAUCUAAUUUUUUCUUAAUACAAAGAUAAGCAGCUCUACUGCGUGUUCUCGAAAAAAAAUUAUUUACUUGCGGAUAAAUUCACUUCUGCAAUAAAUAAAUUUGUGCUAUGCUCAUGCAUUGUGUUUUUUUUCCUUCAUCUUCUGGAAGUUGUUCAACAACAGAAGCGGCAAAGUCACGCUUGUUUUAACAAAUACCCACUACCCAGUGGAUUGGAGCAUGUGUCCUGUUGAGAGCAAAAGAAAGAGUGUGAUCGGUUGUUUAUGGUAGAGAAGAAAAGUAUAUUCCUUGUCUAACUCAUCCUGCCUUUGACUUCCAGUUUUCCGUAUUACUGAUGACAGCAAUUGUACACAAUCGAAGUAUAAGACAUUAAGACUACAAUCGUAUGCGGCUAGGAUGACUCCAGUAGUGUCCAGCAGAACAAAUGGUGGUUAUUGCACUCAAAUCAAAAGUCUGAACGAACAAUAUACACAGAUGUAUUUCAUCCAGACAGACUUCUAUUUGCGUCAUUGCGUGGCUUUAAAAACAAGAGCUUCUAGUUCUUGACCCAGUUCUGUCUCUGACCCUUGUCGAAGGCUGAGAUAGCAAGAUGCUCUGCAGCGUGGGUCAUAAAAGAUGCCAGCACAACACCACCAGCAACCAUUAGUCCUAACCUGUCAAAGCAAAAAAGAAAACGUUCAUGAACUCAAAUCACUUAUUGGCAAGAAAGAUCAAACAGCUUUCAAUACAUGAUCCUCAGACUUAACCCAGAACACUUUUGACAUAAUCAGAAGCUUUGUGUGCAUGAUAUAUUGUACUUAUGUUAUAUGAUCUGCAUAAGCUAGUAACAGUAUUUGACAUAAGCUAGUAACCCCUUACGAGUUACGAAUGGAAGAGGCACACUGACCUUCUAAUAAUCAACUAGUCAAUUUGUAAAGCUUACACUAUCAGUUAUGUUCCCAGGUACAGCCCAGGGCCACAGCCCCCGCACCAGCACCCUACCAUCACCUCAAUGCAGCCCCCAAUCCCAAGUUCUGAAACCCUUCUCUUCCAUAGCCCAUGAUAACACUAGAACAUGGGACAAAUCUCUAUAUGCUCAAGACAAAUUUCCACACAACUUUCCUUUAUAUUAUUAAAGAGGGGUAUAGAAAGAAGCCAAUCACGUGUCUUUGUGAAUAAUGCAGUUAUACCCAAGAUAGUUGAUAGCAAUACAGCAACAGUAGCUAUAGCCGCCAUUCCUAUCCAGUAAAAUGUUGCAUCCAUAUCACAGUCGGACAUAUUCCGUUGAUGGGGAAAAAAUUGUUUAAAACAAAGGAUAACGAAACUAUGCAAGAGGUUGCAUAGUUCAACAUACCUGAACCCAUAUGAUUCUCUGAAGAAUUAGAAUUGCUAAAUCCCACAUGAUUUGCGACCCGUCAAGAUCUUUGAUUGAUGCUCAGCAUCUGAACAGAAGACAGGAAAAGACAAAUAGUCGGUAACACAUCAUACAACCAUUGGACUAAACUUCCAGGUUCAAGUUAGAAUCUUUGUAUGUGCUUUUACUACCUUCAAUCAGUUCGAUUUCAAUUAGAACUCACUGCUACAUAGUUUGCUAGCUAGAGAGCACAUAAUACAUUUAUCUUGCCCAUAUUCUAGUAGAGAUGAAAGAAAGGUGUGCAAAUUUAAACAGGAAAUGAAAACAAAACCUAAAGAUUUGUAUCAGUGAUAGUAGCAUGGAAUCAAAUCAACACAUAGGACAGGGUUUUUAGUCUACAAAUCAUAGACCACAGAUGCCAAGCAUGGAUUACCUCCCCAUCCAAGCUACCAUCCCGUGUUUACUUCAUUAUCUAUGAUGAUCGAGUAUUCCAAACCAAUCAAGUUUUUUUCAUUUCUAUGUUGGAGACCACUAGUUUAAGAUGUUAAUAAGGAACUCAUUGGCCAAUAUCAUAUUCGUCAAGGAUAGUUUAAACUUUUGGUUUUCCCCUUGAAUAACGUAUUUCGAUGUCCCAUAACCAGUUGUCUUCAACCAUACCACAGAGUUUAUUUAAUCUUUACAACCUUAUCAAACUUGAUAUCUCAAACAAUCACUUGAUCGGUACUCUCAAAGCUGAUAUAGGAAGCUCGAACACAAUAAACAAGAUAGAUCUCUCUACCAACCAGCUACUCGUGACCUUCCAGAUUCAUUCAGACAACUACAAAUGCUGACCUACCUCAAUUUAUCACACAACUCGUUUCAAGAUUCGAUUCCAAAUUCUUAUGGCAAGUUAGCCAUGGAAACAUUGGAUCUCUCCUACAAUAACCUCUCUGGCAACAUCCCAAUCUACCUGGCCAAUUUUACAUACCUCACGAAUUUGAAUCCGUGGUGGAACAGCCGGUCGCCGACGGCGAACCCGACGAAGGACGUGUCACGGGUGGCGCACACAGUGCGCGCCGGUGGCCUCCUCGGGCCGGGCCGCGCGCUUCGCCGCGGCGCCGCCCGACCUCCGGGCGCUGAAGCCAGCGCCGCCGUGGAGCAGCAGUGCGGCGCAUAUCUCCUAAACCGCGGAGUUGCCGCCGCCCGCCGCCAUCCCAUUUCAACCGUACAUACCAUGGAGCAGCAGCGCGGCACGCAUCUCCUAAGCCGCGGAGUCGCCGCCGCCCGCCUCGUAGUCAUUGCCGACCGCCGGAGUCUCCGCCGCCCGCCGCCGCCCCAUUGCAACCCUAGAGGAGCCCCAGUCGCAACCUGGACCGAUUGGAACUGAGGAGCCCAGUCACCGAUUGGAAAUGAGGAGGAAUAAAAAGAAAUAAGAUUAUAAUUAAGAAAGAUUUGAUUUGAUCUAUUUCAACAAUACUAUUUUACAUCUUUCCAAUAAUACCCCUAUAUAUACUACCUAUACUACUCAUGCAUAGUACCUAUACUACAACUUAAGGCUUUAGUAGUAUACAAUUAAUCUAUUAAUCUCAACCGUCGGAUCCUUGCAUACGAGUCCUUUUCGAACAGUAGUAUAGGGUAGUAUUAUGCAUCGUAAAAGACCUCUUAUUUUCUCUUUAGCUACAUUGUACUGGACCCGGGCUGCAGCCCCCAGCCUAGGUCCUACAUCCGCCACUGGCCGUAACGUAUCUACAUUGAUGUAUUAGCUUUGCAAAGGAAAUUGAAGAUCUGCAUGUGCUCGUGGAGGCGCUGAAGACCUGCUGCUGUACGGUUGUCUUUUUCAGGAUUGAAUGUAGUUUGCAGGAAUUAUGCAGGAGCAGGAGCAAAGUGAUUAUUAUCGAAGUUGUAGUUUUCAGGAUUGGAUAAAUGCAGUUGAUUCCUGCUGAGUGCUUGUAAGUUAAUAGAAUUGCACAUGCCAAUGGAUGCUUCUUGGCUGUGAUCGGGCAAGCCAUCCUGGCGGUGAUCGCGGGAAGCGUCUUGGUGGUGAUCAGGGGAGCCGUCCUGGCCGGCGGCGCGCGUUCUCUAAUGGAGAACCACUCAAUUGGAGCGAUCCAAACCGAAACCAAUCAGGUACGUACCUACACAUGAAAAGGGCACUUUUUUCAUGUCUUGUGCUCGUAAAUGAUAAAAAGAAAUUAAAAAUCAAUGAGAGUGAGAAAAUGGCAAGCAAAACAAGGUGCCAAACGUUUUAAGGGGUGAUUCUGCGAAAUUCAUGUUUGCAGUGGUAAUUUUGCUAAACCUGUUCUCCGAUUAUCAAUCCAUUACCCCCUCCCUGCCCGGUAUCGCAUCAGGAUACCGCCCUCCUCUUUCCCGUCGCUCAACCUCGUCUCCAGCGCGGAGUGCGCCGCCGCUCGCCGUGCCUCUAUCUCCAGCGCGGAGUGCGCCGCCGCUCGCCGUGCCUAUAUCUCCACGCGAGCACUUCAGCGGUGGCGUCGGCUGCAUCACAUAUCGUCGCCGGUACGGAGUCAUGGAUCUCUCUCCCAUCAUUCUCUCGAACCCUCUUCUCCUGUCUAAUUAUAUUAUAAACCUGGGAGGUGAGAAAUAAAAGUGAGGAAAACCUCAACUGUCACACAACAUACGCAUGUACUUAUAUUAUAAACCGUUCGUGGGUCCUAGGGUUUCAGUUUUGCUCAGCACAAAACUUUGCUUAAGCGAUCUGAUUUCCAAUUUAGCAAAUAUGUACAGCUAAAUUUGAAUUUCUUUCAGAGAUCACAAUAGAGCUUGGGCAUGUGUCUGUACAUGCUCUAUUCAGAGACUUGAACAGCUAGAUGUAAAAUCGAGUUGUUAGAUCAGUAUCUAUUGCAUUAAUUUAAUCUUCACAACCUCACAGGAUUAGUAUAAAUUACUUUAGAACCUUACCUGACCACACCACUAGUAGCAUUGAGUUGGUUUUGGCAACCACUAGGAUCUGGGCACUACACUUGCAAUAGUCUCAGGUCAACUGAGGCAGCAAUUGGAUCUGUUUACUUGCAUUUCCGUUACGAAGCAUAAUUUACUUGGAUCCAUUGUACAGCAUUAUGCAUUUUUCUCAUGACUCAACAUACAUAAUUUCUCUACUGGUCUCAAAGUGCUUCCAAUAUAAUCGUGUACUAGUAUAUCUAAUCCUGUAACUUUUAUUGCUUUUAAUUUCAAAGGUUAAAUAUGCCAAAUCUGUUUGUUUACAUUUUUCCUGCCAUGAUUCACAAGAAUUGCAAGCUAACUUUGCAGUAAUACCAUAUCAACAUAUCCUAGUAUAACUAGCUCUCUGUUUGCAGUUUUAGGCUGUUGUUCUUGAGCACAAAUAUUAUGUUGAUUAUUGAUAAUUUAAUUAGCUCGUACCUUAGCUCUGAUUGGCCUGGCUGAACAUGUUUGCUGAAUCAACAUACCAUUCUUUAUAGGAAAAUAUGACAAGCUCAUAUCUUAACUCGUCUUUUCGUUCGGAACUGAAAAUUUUUCAGGUUUCUCUUGAACUCUUUGAAAUAUUUCGCCUUUUAUAGUCGUUGAUCUGCGUGCUGUGGUUGGAUUGUGGGUUUAUUAUUUCUUCAGGACGCCGCCAACGCCAAAUUUGGAAAAUCGACAUUAGCUUAGGACUUAUUUCUUGAAUGGUCAGUUCAUCAGAUUGCUUCUCUUGCUGUUUGAAUCUGUUAAAAAAAUGAGGCCUUCUUAGUUCGAGUAUGAUGGCUUCAUUGACCUUGUAUUUGGCUUUUCAAGGUUGAUUAGCUUAUUAGGGCUGGUUGGUACCUAUAUCGCAUCUUACUGAGUAGCUUCCCAUCGAUUUCACUUACCUGGUAGGCGGCCUAGUUAUCACUUUGCUUAUACUUCUCAGUGUUGGGUUGAACAUGGUUGUGAACUGCAUUUUUCUACUGGUCGAUAUUAUUUGAGAAGUGAGAAACUAACAACCAGUGAAUUAAUGCCUUUUGUUUGCUUUAUUGAAGUUGAUUUUGAGGCUUACAGUAAACAUUUGUUGGAUAGAGAACCAGCAGCAUUGGCUAUAAUUUUAAAGUGGCCCUUUCAUUAUCUGUUCAGCCAUGGAUUUGCAUCGAUGCUUUGCUUGUUGUAACCUAGAGUUGACCUUUAGUUCUUUAUCAGUGCUGGAAAGAUGUCAGCAAGUAAGGGGAAGAGAGGUGCUUUCUCAAAAAAGAAAAAAAGAACUCGCAGUGAUGGAGAGUCAUCGAUCUCAGGUCUGCUGGCUCUUCCUUUUUCACUACAUUUUUUUUGCAGCUCUAUUUGAUCACUCACAUCUCUGUUGUACCGUGUUUCUUUGACUGACUUACUUGGGAACAAUCAAGAUAUUUGGAGUGAGCUGCGUGAAGACGUUGCAUCAUAUCUUCGUAGAAGUGUUGUCUCACUUGUUUUGAACAGUAAUUAUCCUGGUGAUUAUGCUGCUGUAUCCUUACUUUUCGAAAUAUAUGUUUAAACAUUGUUAGUUAUGAAUGAUGUAAAUUAAGAUCUUCUGUAGCACGCAGAUUUCCGUUUACAUGCUCUGGUAUUGCCAUAGAAUGCCAAAACAAUGUCACAAAGUUUGUGACAACUGGAAUGUUGGUUAGUGCUCUUCAGACUGGCAAGUAUAAAGAAGAGGUUGGUGCUGCUAAUCAUUAAUUUUUGAUUGUGUACUUAAGAUAACUAUGGUCAUUCCUUAAUAUUUCCUAUGCUUUAUGUUAUAGAUCAAAGUGCACUAUGAAGGAAAUGUUGCCACAGGCUAUCUGGACGAAUAUGAUUCUGAUUGUCAGCUUGCUGUUGUCAAAGUCUUGUCCCCCCUUGAUGUUUAUUGCAUACAUCUUAAUCCUGGGAUGGAAAUUGUGCCCUGUAAGCAGCUAAUAGCUGUAGGGCGUGUCUUUGACAGAUUCAUAGCAACAAGUGGGGAAAUUUCACGUCGAUCUAAAGAUAGAGAAUUUCUUAUAUUCUCUCGUUUCCCUGAGGUACAGUUGCAUUCAUAUGGGUUAAUCUUUGGUUAGAAAUGCUACAUCCAUCUCAUAUUCUAUAGAAAAUGGUGUUACUCUUGGUUUACUUCUAUUUAACACCAUUGACUAUAGUUUGGCUUCUAAGUUCUUUUAAACUGUACAAUAAAGUUGAAUGGGUUCUGUAUUGGUUAGAUUUGCACUGGAACAUACUUUAAAGAUAUUAUACAUUUCUAAGCAUUUACAAGUAAUUGGGGAUAAAGUGGGGAGUAACUCUUAUUUCAGAUCAUUUUAUUUUGUUCCAGUGAAACCCAUGUUACUUUCUUUUUCUAGAAUUGGUCAGGGGCGGCAUUUUUUGAUAUAGAUGGAAAUUUUGUUGGCAUGAACCACUACUAUUUAUUGCCAAGGAGAAUAUUUCUCGAACGGUCAACAUCAAGGGGGGUAUUUCGCUAUGUUGGCAUGAACGGUUGGUAUGAGACUAAAAGGUAAGCUGUUUUGUUAGCUUUACUCCUUUUUGUAGUUUCUUUGUGCAUUUGUUGCAGUUCCUAAUGUUGAUCCCUAAUAACAACAAAAUUCUUUGGUACCUCUACCUAAAGAUAACUGCCAAUGGACCAGUUGUGCUAUUGGUAUUUGUCACAGUUUGCAUUUUUUUUAGAGUAGCUAUAUUCCUGUCAUCCUAUGUCACUAUUGAAGCUUAUGUCUUAUUCAAAAUAUGUGAGUUUUUUUGUUCAGACUAUACACUAAAAGUUUUUGAAGUGUCCAUCGUACCUCAUCUCUAUUAUCUUUUCCUUUCCUACAACUCUGCCACCAUGGUGGCAUUGUAUUGUGCUUGGUUGAUACUUAGUGUUGGUGCUAGUGCUCAUGUUGAUGUUCUUCUGCAGGGGGGAACUUUACUUCCAUCCUAAAGGUGAGCACGACCAAUCAAAUGUCUUUAUUGUGCAAUCCAUCACCAUUAGUAGUGCAAAGUAGCUUAUGUACUUCCAUGAUAACCAUUAACUAGUUUAACCUUUUCUUUAUUAAGUUGUGAUUUUCUGUUAGCGUACGCUAAUCAGUCAACAUUUUUACCGUGCUAGCAUGGUGCCCUUGCGUUGUGAUGUAUCUCAAUUGAUAUUCCACAGAUUCUAAUUUUGAAAAGUAACAUUACUCUGCCUUAAAAUUUUUAUCAUCAAUUGGCUCGUACGUAUACACAUACAUAAUUGCAUAUAGGGCAAUAGGGUGCUAUUAAAUAUUGCAUUCACAUGUCUACAUAAAUCCAUUUACAGAAGAUCUAGAUUGUGCAUAGAGCACACCAUGACCAUCAUUGAUUCCUUGAGAUGAGAUGAGGUGCUUAUGGGUAUAUUUGAUUGUUGCAAAUUUUACUUAGAAUUAGUAUGUGCUACCUCUAAUCACUUGACCAUGUUGUACCAGCAUAUGACGUUGUUGACAAGGAAAAAUUUCAGGAUCUGAAUUCUUUGGGUUAUCCUAUUCCAUCAAGGACUAUGGUCAAUCGUGAGUGGCUUGUACAUUUUCUUAGUUAUCCUGCAUUGAGCCUUUGUACAGCCCUGUUGUACCACUAGUAUUAUACUAUGCAUCAUUUUUCAGGUGGCAUGAUUUUGGUUAAUACUUGUGAAGAUCCUUUUGGUGAUUUAUAUCCUAAAGGUGUUUGGGGUGAAUUCAAGAAAAGAGUUUCUUCUGAGAUAUCUCGAAAUGUUGUGGCACUUGCUUGUUUCAAAGGUGAUUUUGCAGUAAUGUGCUAUUUACUAUUUCAUAUUUGUGUUUGGUCAUCAUUUGCUGAUGAUCAGAAUCGUGGUGUCCAGGAGAAACAAGGUUUUUUGCAUGCACUGGAGUUUUUAUUGACUAUGAUGAUGAGUAUCCGAAAAUUCUUACUUCAGCAAGCUUGAUUAGAGAUCGUAAUGUUCCAAAUAAGAUCGUUGAGGACCUGAGGGUUAGUGCUCCUGACUAUAUUGUGAUCCUUGUUUCUAGAUACAACCUAAGUUUCAUUGUAUUGUUUGCAGAUUGAUGUGUGGCUCCCAAGCAAAAAGUGCAGAGUAAUAGGGACAUUGAAACAUUAUAGUUUACAUUACAAUGUUGCUGUAGUCAAUGUUGAUAAUCACCAUGCUCUUUGUCCUAUGAAUCUUGAGAAGUGUCCUGUGAAUCAUCAUGAUUCUAUGUUAUAUAAAUCUACGGUAGUAGCUGUUGGGCGGAUCUUCCAAUCAGGCACGUUAAUGGCUGCAAGUGGGAAACUAACUCUCGGGUCAAGCAGGCUUGAUUGCAAAGUUCUUUGGUACUCCACAUGUAAAAUCAGUAAGGUAGUGUUGAUCUUAUUUUUCCCACUUUAAACAUGUUGGGAAGUAAAUAUAAGUUUAACUAACCUAUCACAUCAUGUACUGAGAUUCUUUGCAUUACAACUGACAUCCCCUUUGUAACCUGGUUAGGUGGGGAUUGGAGGGCCCCUUGUUGAUGUUGAUGGUAAUUUUAUUGGCAUGAACUUUCAUCGAAUGUGCGGCAAUUGUCAGAAAAUAGGAACCCCGUACAUGUAUCGUGAAGAUCUCUGCAGAAUCCUGGAAUUUUUGAAGACAAAAAAGUAUGUAUAUAUUUGUUUUUUUAAGUAUGUCUAGAUUUCUUUUUUUAUUUUGGUUAUUGUGCCUGUUUGAACAAGUAUUCAGUUUAUUUUGCACUUAGCUGUAAGCUUUGGUUAACAUUUGAAUAAACUAGUUGAAGGAUGUUCUAUCAAGCAUAAUUAUUUUAUUAAAUCUAUUUUUCUGUGUAUUUCACAGAACUACGGAGUUUAGUUUCGGGGACACUGUCCGUGGAGAUGAGAAACCAAUAAAUGAGUAAGCUGAUACAUCUCAUUGCUAUUGAAGUUGCAUUAUAAAGUUGCUGAUCAUAGUACGUUUGGUUGUAAAAAACUGAAUAACAGGUGGCCAGUACCUGAUCCAUAUUGGUGUGAUCCAAGUGAUGUGGAGGAUGAUAUGAAUGACAAACAAGAAGUCGUAGCUGGUGGCUGCCCAGUAAGAUACAUCUUGGGAUCUAAAUGCGUGCUCAAGUAGUCUUUGCUCUACUUCACUGGAGCUUGUUCGAGUUGGCAUGUCUUAAGUACUUGUAUUAGUUUGAGCUUGUAUGCUAUGUAAGAUAUAAAUGGUUUAUUAUCUGUUUUUGAUGUACCUACAUUUAAUGUGUGGUUUUUAAGCUUGAGCUAAUACUAAUCUCUCCAUCUGGACCUGUUUACAUGCA
rnacentral:lncRNA from 1 species